rnacentral:lncRNA from 1 species
ACGACAUCAUGGCGGUGGUGCUCGGUGUGAAUUGAGGUCGAAUUUUGUUUGUUCAGUCCAAUGAAUUGGGCUCUAUGUCCAAUUCCCCUAUUUCUACACCUUUGGGUCCGUUCUGAUUUGUUUGGGACAUGGAUGUCAUUGGAUGUCCUUACAUCCCUAGCUUUGGAGGGUAGCUCCCUUAAUCUUAACGUCGUACAAUGUUUGGUUCUUAGGUGACAAUGAGAUUAGGAAAGUCCUCUAAAGUGUUGGGUAAUGUUUGCUGCUAUUUCUUUUGGUUUGGUUUUGAGUUAGUUUGCUCUCGUUUCGACCUUUGUUUUGAACACCUUAUUUUUUGCUUAGGUUUUUCUAGUUUUCACUUUGACAAGUUGAGCCUCGAUUUGUAAGAGCAAGUCCACCUCAAGCUCCAUUGAAGACCCAGGCCUUCAACCACCUCAAAGGAAGACCCAGCCCGAAAGAACUUAUCUCCACCCACAUUUUUUUUUUUGACCCAGGCCUUCAUGGGUUUUCACCUGGGUCAAACAUAUGACCCAGACCUCCAUUUUUGAAGACCCAAGCCUUUGCAAUCCAUGUUAGCACAGCCCACUUGCCCAUGUGAAGGCCUCUUUUUUGUCGUCAUGCAGAUAUGGCCCAUGAGUCCAUGACACAUGUCAUCACAUGUAGGUCAAAUUCAAACAAUCUAAACUAAUGUAGGCUGUUGAUUUCAUAUAAAAAUGGUAAUCGAACAGCUCAUAAUAAUACCAGUCAUUGUAAUUAGAAAACUAGGAUAAUUUAGGAAAUUUUACUUAGCAAAUUUUUCAGAGUUUUAAUUAGGAAUAUGUAGGUGUGUUCUUAAUUAGGAAAUUUUAAAUUACUCUAUUUUACUUAGAAAAAUUAUGAAACAUGGAAAUAUGUUUGUGUGUUUUUAAUUAGGAAAUUUAAAUUGUUGUAUUUGUUUGUGUGUGUUUUAAUAGGAAAUCUUAAAUUAUUAUAUUUUGAUUAGGAAAUUAGGAAUUAAGGAAAUUACGAAUAAAAAAUUUAUAUUUCAGUGUAUCAUAUAGUUUAUUUUAUUAACAACAUAAUAUCAUUAGGGAAAAUAUCCAUUUAGUACUAAUUUAAACCCCUCAUUUCUCAUUCUAAUGACAAUCUUUUUCAUUAGCCCAUUAUAAUAUAAGGUAACAUUUUUUAUGCCCAAAUACAUAAAUAUUUACUAAAGUCUUAUCAAACCAUAUUAUUUUAAGACUAUUUUGCCCUCACCCCUUAAACAUGCAUAGAGAGAGAAAAUGGAAGAGAUAAUACUUGGCCGGAAUCUCACCAGACUCCGGUCACCGGCCACCGGACUCCAGUCACCGGUAGCCGGAUUUCUCUGGUCGCCGGAUUCCGGUCACCAAGACUCGGUUACUGACCCUCAAUAAUCAGUUACUAACCCCCAAUAAUCGAGUACUGACCCCAAUAACUUAGUUACUGACCCCCAAUAACUGGGUUACUGACCCUUAAUAAUCAGUUACUGACCCCCAAUAAUCGGGUACUGACCCUAAUAACUUGGUUACUGACCCCUAAUAAUCAGUUACUGACCCCCAAUAAUCGGGUUACUGACCCCCAAUAAUCAACUUAUUAAGUUACUGACCCUUAAUAAUCGGGUUACUAACCCCCAAUAACUUGGUUACUGACCUUAAUAACUUGGUUACUGACCCCCAAUAAUCAACUUAUUAAGUUACUGACUAUUAAUAAUCGGGUUACUGACCUCUAAUAACUUAGUUACUAACCCUAAAAUAAUCAGCUACUGACCCCUAAUAAUCAACUUAUUUCUCCCAUCGCCGGAUUCCGGUCACUGUAAACUCGGUUACUGACCCACAGUAACUGAGUUACUUUAAUCACCGGCCCCAAGAACUGAGUUACUGACCCUUAAUAACUGGGUAAUGAUUCCAUAAAAGGCUACUGACUCCGGAUAACUCAAUUACUGAUCCUUAGUAAUCGUGUUACUGACGCCCAAUAAUGUGCAACUGACCCCAAUAAUCACGUUAAAAUAUACUUUAUGUUCAAAAAUCACUCUAUUAUGAUUUCUAAACUAAAAAUUUGUAAAACAAAAUAGUGUAUUACAUCAAAUCUUUCUCAUCUCACCUCUUUGUGGACAAAUAAUCCUCUAAAUCCAUUUAACAUCGGCACUAUUUACUCAAUUACUCACACUUAGAUAACAAAGUUAUGCUUAGAGGCUAUCAUACCAAUAAAGGAAGCAAAAAGCCGAAACACAGAACACGUCCUUUUGGCUUGUUGGUGACCGACGAAUGUGAGUUCAGACCGACAAACUUGCUCCGAAUCCUUGUCACCGCAUAUGUGACGUCAACGACCUGCUCCUUAACAUCCAGCUGUCGUCUCAAUCAUCAUCUUGUUCUAAAUCGGUCACUAAAACCCAGCCUCUCGAACUUGAUCUGUACAUGACGUUCUCCGGCAUCAUCGUCGUCUGUCCGGCACCUUUGACUCACGUCGGAGCAUGGGGCUCAGUGCUUUGAGAUGAGGGAGCCGAGGCGGUGUGGGUGGAAUAGAAGAGACCUCAGUCUCAACCUCUCACGGCAGAGAUGGAGGAGAUGGAAAAAUCUCUAAAAGAGGACUAGUCGGAGAUGGAGGAGAUGUGGCGGUUAGGUUAGGUGGUGACGAUGACCGAAGUGAGGGAUCUAGCCUCGCGCCGGUGCUUCGCCGGUGACGUGAUUCACGUCUGAGAGAGAGAGAGAGAGAGAGAGAGAGAGAGAGAGAGAGAGAGAGAGAGUAGUAGUAGUAAGUAAGNNNNNNNNNNNNNNNNNNNNNNNNNNNNNNNNNNNNNNNNNNNNNNNNNNNNNNNNNNNNNNNNNNNNNNNNNNNNNNNNNNNNNNNNNNNNNNNNNNNNNNNNNNNNNNNNNNNNNNNNNNNNNNNNNNNNNNNNNNNNNNNNNNNNNNNNNNNNNNNNNNNNNNNNNNNNNNNNNNNNNNNNNNNNNNNNNNNNNNNNNNNNNNNNNNNNNNNNNNNNNNNNNNNNNNNNNNNNNNNNNNNNNNNNNNNNNNNNNNNNNNNNNNNNNNNNNNNNNNNNNNNNNNNNNNNNNNNNNNNNNNNNNNNNNNNNNNNNNNNNNNNNNNNNNNNNNNNNNNNNNNNNNNNNNNNNNNNNNNNNNNNNNNNNNNNNNNNNNNNNNNNNNNNNNNNNNNNNNNNNNNNNNNNNNNNNNNNNNNNNNNNNNNNNNNNNNNNNNNNNNNNNNNNNNNNNNNNNNNNNNNNNNNNNNNNNNNNNNNNNNNNNNNNNNNNNNNNNNNNNNNNNNNNNNNNNNNNNNNNNNNNNNNNNNNNNNNNNNNNNNNNNNNNNNNNNNNNNNNNNNNNNNNNNNNNNNNNNNNNNNNNNNNNNNNNNNNNNNNNNNNNNNNNNNNNNNNNNNNNNNNNNNNNNNNNGAGAGAGAGAGAGAGAAUUUAGAUAAGUGAAAAGAUAGAGUUAGUUGAAUCUGAGGGUAAGUUCAUUUUUUAUGUAUUUUUAUUGGAAUGGGCUCUUGAAUAAAAUUUUCAUUGGAUAAGGCUUUAGUUUAGUUGUUUUUAUGCAAAUGGGCAUUUUUAUACUUAAAUACCUAAUAUAAAAUUUAAUAAAUAGUCACACAGCCACGUGACGACCCAGAAACCAAAAUCGUGGGUGAAAACUGUCUUUUAAUUUUAUUGUCACGUGAUGACCCAGGUCACACCCAUGACCCAAACAUUCUCAACGAAGACCCAACAUGUGGACUUGCUUUAAUAAACAUUAUAAUCAAAGCAUUCUGGUCAAGUAUGACUGUCAUAUUCCAAAAAGCAAGAUGACUGUCAUAUUCCAAAAAGCUAGAUGAGAGUUCUUCUCUCUCUCUCUACUCGCGGCGACCAACCCUGGAUCUAGGGUUUGGUUCGUCACGAAUUUUGGCCGCCGUUGAGAGUUUCUCAUGUCAUGUAGCAUGUGUGACAUCUUCUUUUAGGCUAUGCGAGCCCUCAGUUCAAUUUGUGGAUUUAGGUUUUUGGUUUUUCUGGCUUUGUCGUUUUCACCAUAAUGGUAGCGAGGGGUUUGGCCAAGUUGGAGUUGGCGUGCGAGUUCAUAACCGGCGGUCCUCCUCUAAUGGCAGCUCCCGAUCUUCGAUACAGAUCUGGGAUUCGGGUUUUGUACCAUCUCCAUUUUUGCGACGGAUGAACCACUGUGACUAGAGGUUAGGUGUGGUUGAUGGCUGUGUUCUGGGGAACACCUGUGACGAUGGAGUACGGGUGGAGGCCGCUUCGAUUGGGGCGGUUCGAAUUGUCAGAUUCGCUUGGGUUGGCGAGUGUCUCCGACUUUUGUGGAUUGGUUUAGGGCUGGUGGUGACUCGAGUUGUCGGCUGCGAGAUCUUUUCGGCAAGGACUAUGUCAGAUCCUGUCGUUCAACAGUGGCGCUCAUCGAGGUAUGUGGAUUUUCCUGGGUUGGCAGCUAUUAAAGUCCGGGCACGGGGGAGAAAUUCUCGGCGACGGUUGAUCGGAAGGAGAAGCUGGUGUGUGAUGGGUGCCUAAAUCACUAUCCGUUGGGCCUGGGCCUGGCUUCUGUUUGGUAUAGGGCUGAUUGGGUGUACUUUCAUGCCUAUACACAUAUGGGCUCGGAUCUAGGAUCGUGGAGGCUGGGUUUGGCCAAUUUGGGCUCUAUUUCAAUUUUGGAUUAGAGGCCUUAAUUCAUUGUUACGGCUUUGGAGAGUUCAAUUGCUAACGUCCGAGUUUCUUACACCCUUGGUUGCCUCUGUUCUCUCGGGGGCCACAUCCAGCUCUCCUAAUAGGGUGUACUUCUCAAGCUAUGGAUAUGAUCCUGGCUACGGUUACAGUUACGGUUACUAUCUUAUUUACACUGCUAUCGUGUCAUAUGUAUUCAAGCGAUGUUGUUCAGCAUCAAGACACAUCUUGGUUACCUCUCAAUAUCGAUGCGUUUGCGUAUCUGAUUAUUUCGAUGUUUUAUUGUUGUUUCGUUUUAGAUGCGUUUGUGCAUCUUGUUAUUUAUUCUUGCUCUAUUUCAAUAUUUUUGCAUCGCUCCAUGUACUCUUUAAUUACUAUUCAUAUAGCUUUUUCGUCCUUGAUUAAAAAAAUAACGAUAAUUUUUUUAAAAAAAAUAACGCAAUAAAGUAUUUCCAUGGACCUGCGUAAAACCUAUUUAAGAUAUAUGAGUAAAUUAGAAUAAAAUGCAUAUAGAAAUAUGGGGUCAUAAGCUCGCUGUGGUUUAGUUUCUUGCUACGGUAAAAGAAGAUAAAAUAUGUAUUGAAAGUUUAUAUUUUGUACAAUUUACAUAGUCAUCAUGUAAUGAAAAUGAUGCAGUCAAGUAUUAAAUCUUAUGUGAGUGUUUGGUAAGUCAUAAUAAUGAAAUACAAAGUUAUAUGUUUCAAUAAUGGCCUUUUAUAAUUUCUAAAUACAUACAACAGUAAAAUUUAUUAGAGAGAUAAUUUAUGUAAUUGUGGCUUUGAUGGUGGGAAUGGACGCCUUGAUAAGGUAAUUGAAUUCAGGCUUUAUGAGAGAGAUGAAGUCAAUUUCCAGUCAGAUCUCUUUUUUUGUUUCGUUUUCGGUCUUUAUGUACAACCAAUCAACCCCUUGUAAUGAAAAACCGAAUUAAUUCAUUUUCCAUACCAUAAUUUCAUGCCAACCAAACGGGGCCAAUAAUGCCCCUUUAUAAUUUUUAAGUAUUUAGAUUUUAGUGGGAUGUUUACCUGUAAAAUUUAUCCAAUAACUUGGGAAGAGAUGAGUUGGUCCCAUUAUAAAUAGCAUGGAGUUGGCACCAAACAUGUACUCAUCUUGUGAAUUGUAAGCAGCUAAACAUGGGCGCAUUGUUUUUGAAACUGGUGUUUUUGUUCAUGUCCGUGACCAUAUUAGAAGCCAAAACACAUGUUCGCAUCAUUAACGAUUUCCCGGACCACUCGGUACUAUCCGUCCACUGUCGAUCUAAGAACAAUGAUCUUGGCUGGCAUUACCUCUCCUACAAUAGCUCCUAUGAAUUUCGUUUUAGGCCCAACUUGUGGGGGACGACUCUAUUUGCCUGUGAGAUGAAGUGGCCUCCUUCAAAUAGUCACGGUGUCGUAAUCUAUCGUUUCAAAAGAGACUAUGACUGUCAUUUUACAGGUGGCACAUGUACGUGGUACAUAAAACCAACUGGUCCGUGUAUGUUUAUGAAAGAUUACCCCAUGAUGUGUUUGGGUUGGGAUCAGCCGCCCAAUUACCGUAUGGAAAUGCAAAAUGGAAAUUGAUCGAGUCACAACAAUGGGUACUAAUAUUUAAUGUUUCUAGCAUUGAUAAAGUUUUGUCAGAUGGUAAUUAUAGCGAUUUGCGAACUGUAUUUUUCGUACCUACGAAUUUUUACUACCCCAAAUGAUACCUCAAUUAUGGUACCUCAAAUAGGAUGCUGAAUCUGGGUGUUCAGAGAUAGUUAUUCGAAUUGAUGAUUGUAUUGGGUAGUAGAAGUUUCUUGUUGCAAUUGAGUAAUUGGGUUUUCAAAACUCGAAUGAGUUAAGAAGCUUAUCGUGAUUAGAGAAUUUUUAUUUGGCAUGGGUUCUCUAAGAACAAGGAGCUUAUGCCUGAAAGGUCCAGACCCUCAGAAUAUUUAUACUUUGGUUCCAAGAAAAAUGUUAGAGCAAGUCCAAGAAAAAUGUUAAAAGUGGAAGAGGGAUAUGAGAAAGGAAUCAUUGACAAGAAAUUUGACCUGCCCUGAUUCGGAGAAUCAAAAUUUGAUUAGGAUAUAGAGCUAAUUUGAUAUAGAGCUGAUUAAUCAUGGUGAACAUGAAAAUAAUGAGCCAAAUUAUGAAUACAAUGACCUUAUAUUUGGGGGAUCAUCGACGACCAUGUAGUAAAGCAUGAGGUUCCUACACUUGAGGAAAGCAUGUAUAUUGACAUGGUAGCUGAAGACAAAGCCGAUGAGAUCGGCUAAAUCAGAACAAAAAAUUCAGAAUUGAUCACCCUUUUGUUGUAGGGGGCUUGCGAAAUCUCCAAUUACAAUAGACCAAGAGCGGAAUGAUCCUACUGAAUUUUCAAGCUCAUUACAUAUCGCGGUCUUGAACAAUUUGAAAUGCAGGUCGUGAUUGUAAAAAGUGUACCUCCUACUAAUCGGUCAUGAUGAUUUUUUAUUUUCUAAGAAAUUGGUCAUGAUGAUUUCGUCCUGUAGUUAUCUAUUUUGGUUGAUUCCGAUUUCAAAAAAAUAAAAGAGUAACGAAAGGUAGCCGUAAUUAAAGUUGUAUGGAAGGAGGUGUUCAUGGCUAAAAUGAUGGAAGUUUGAUUUAUUGUUAGCAAUUCUUGCGCAAACUAGAGAGAUGAGAAAUUUCUCAGACGUGGAACUUAUUAUCUCUUGUAUCCUUUAAUUAAUCUCUGGCCGGUGUCCUAACGGCUGAUGCCGGGAAGGCUGAAAAUGAUCAAAAAUAUAAAGUUGCUGCGUGCAAAAGGUGAAAAAAAAUUAAGGGAUACAGGUUUUUGAGGCAUAUAUGGGUGUGAUCAUGCAGUAGGGUGUUAAGACUAUGUAUGUAUGUAGUUGAAUAUGUACAUGUGUUAUAUGGGCAUCAUCCACAUAUAUCCAAGGGUACUGUUAAUUAUAACAUAUAAGUCUGAAACUCUAUACAAACCUGUUUUUGUUUUCUAUUGUCGAGUGUCAAUUUUCAAAGCCAUAUAUUAGCAAUGAAUUUUGUGAUCUUCAUGUUAUUUAAAUCAUGAGUUCAAUAUUAAAUUUUCCACUGUCUGCAAUGAAAUUCUGUUUCAGUGGUGUCGAGUUCAUGCAAGAACCUACGAUUUAUUCUUAUCUUUGUAAAUCUACAUUGUUUGAAAAACAAUGAUAACAAUUCCUGAGAAGCCAUUAUUCAAGUCAAAGCCCUUAUUUUGGUAAAUUUUGAAUGGACAUCUAUCGACUAUUGCUAAGAAGAAGAGACAGAGAAGAAGAUCCUUAUCAAUGAUAUUGCUAAAGCAGCAGUUUGUAAUACUAUACAUAUAAUUGGUAAUUGCUUAUCGUUUCAGCUCCUUGUUUGUGAGAAUAAUAUGAUAAAUGAAGACGAUCUGUUUCGAGUUGCCUUAGAAAUUGGCUCCGAGGAGCUAAGAACGUUUUAGAAUAAAAUGGGUUCGAUCUUUUCGUAAUAUCUAGGGUCUGUUUUGGAUUUGAUUGACUUGAUUUCAUUUUCCUAAUCAAUCCAAACCGAAGAAUUUGUAGUUCACGUCACUUUUUAAAUUCUAUAUGAUGACGGCCAAAACGACAUAAUUAAUACUUUUUUUUGGAGAUAAAUGAAUAUUUUAUUAAUCAAGGGAACAAAUCCAAAUUACAAACUUGCAAAUACAAGGCCGAUAAACUAAUAACAAGAGCAUAAGUCUUUAACUCGAUCAAUAUAGAAAGAGUGAAAUGACAUCAUCAACUCACUAAACUAUGGACCAAAAACUCUACAUCCGAAAACAUAAAUACAAUAAUACUAACAAAGCUACCACACACCACCCAUGCACGCUAACAUUGCCGUCGCCAGUAGCUGUGAGUAAGUGAGGAGUGCUAAAUAGGAGCAUAAUUAAUACUUACGGGAUACUUAUACUUGAAUAUUUUUCAAUGCAUUACAAUAUACCAUAUAAAUAGUAAGAGAAUAGAUAGUAAAGACCCAUUUAAAAGAACCCGGGCCUAUCCACCCAUUUAUUUAACGCACUGAUAAUUAUCAAGAGGCCAUCAAAUAGCCCACCUAGACAUUUGAAGGAGCCCUACGACGUGCAAACCAGUAGCACAACGAAAUGGAUAAAACUACCCCAAAUAACCAAGCAUCCAUGAUCAAUACCAGAUACCGAAACGCCAAAGGUAUCGCCUGGUAUACAGACCAACCAAAGAGGGGUAGUACGACUAGCGCAUGAAAAGCUGCUAUAGGCCACCUCCCAUGACAAAAAAUUAACCUGGCAAUCAUCAUCGUGGCUAUAAAGAAGGUGGCAGCCAUCCAUCCUUGGAAAACCAGGAACGGAAUUGGGAUGCACUCAUCACACAUAAGUUUAGGCCCAACGGUCUUGCAGGUGCAAUGUGUGAGGUGCUGUUGCGGUGAAAACCAAUUAUCAGUUGGUUUUGAAAUCCAAACGAGCCCCGUCGAUAUAAGGCCUGUAGCUAUUCCGACAUAAUCUCCUGUGCUCAUGGCUCUGGGGUCCUCGCUACAGCGUUUGUGCCUCCGGCUCGAACGACGACGAAUUCGAGUCCUGCAAUAAAAAGAAAAAUCAAAUUUGAAUUUGAAGGUUAGAACAAUAAUUUAACACUUAACUAACGUCUCCUGUAAAUAUAACAAAGUUAUAAAUUUUGGGCGGUUCAUCUAUGAUCAAAACCCAUCAAUCAAAUCUAUAUAGCACAAAACCACAAAUAUAUAUUAAAAGAUUACCAGAAAGAUGGAGGCAAAAUGUGUUUGAGUUCAAGCUCAACCACUGUAGGGCGUUCAAGCUCUGGGGGGCGUUCAAGAACCGGGAGGCGUUCAAGCUCCGGGGGGCGUUCAAGAACCGAGGGGCGUUUAAGCACUUCAGGCACCAUUAAUCCUCUAAACUAAAGCAAUAGAAUAGAUUGACCAACUCUAAAUCUUACUAGUCAGAAAAGAAGAAGCUAACACCAAAAGGAGAGAUAUAUGUAAGGUUAAGGUGAAGAAGAAGAAGAAGAAGAAGAGCAUAAUUCAGUGAAAGCUAUAUAUAGGUAGAAAGGUGAGAUUGGUAGACAAGCGUCGAACCGAAUUUGAAGGCAAUAAGUGAGAUAAAUCUCUGAGUUUCUGAAAUAUUAUUGAAUUGUUGAAUGCCUAAUACAACAUAGAGGGUGUCUUAUAUAGGCUCUAACUCAUGACUAAAUCCUAUUUAGAAUAGAACUAGGAAAUAACAAAACCUAAUGGAACUAGAAAUCCUUAUUGAAUCAUAAAUCAUAAGUCAUAAUCCUAAGAAUAAUAGGAAACUUAAACUUGCUUACGACGUUGAUUUUUAGGUUGUUCCUCAAACUUUUCUACAAGUCGUUCUACAUCAGAGCGAUACUAUUCUUUCAAAAUAAGGUUAAGAUGAAUGUGUAUAUAGAGAAGAAGAGAGUUAUCUAAGGGGAGACUUAUGAUUAGACCUGUAAAUGGACCGGAUCUGGAGCGAAUCGACCUAGAUCCGGAUCCGGAUCCGUAAUAGAAAUUUUAGAUCUGGAUCUGACCCGUUACCCGCCGGAUCUUUGAUAGCUAGAUCCAAAUCCGGAUCCGACGGGUUAACGGAUACCCGACCCGUUAAUCCGAUCCGUUUAUAAUAAUAAAUAUUUUCAAAUUUAAAUAAUAAUUUCUUAAUUUUAUCAUAAAUUUUCAUAAAACAUUAAUGAAAUAUUAUAACAAAAUAAAAGUUUACAUCAAAAGUUGAAUUAUAUAGCCAAAAUACUCUUUAACAAUAAACUAAUAUAUUCAAAAUGUUAUACCUCCAAUGUAUUUAGCAAAGAGCAUAAAAAGAACAUAGACAUCAGUAACCUUCAACUUCAUAAAAUGAUAAUACUUUAGACGCAAUUUAGACAUUUAGGUUAUCUAAAUAAUUAUUAUAUUAUUUUAUAUUUUAUCAAUAAUAUUAUAUUUAUAAAAAUAUUAUUUAAUUAUUUUAAAACGGAUCCGGGUCCUUAACGGAUCGGAUCAACCUCGAUCCGUAUCCGAUCCGUUUAACAAACGGGUUAACGGAUCCGGGUCCUUAACGGAUCAACGAGUCUAAUUUUCGAUCCAAACCCGUUUAAAAAUCACGGAUCCGGAGCGGGUCUGGAUCAAGAUCCGGUCCAUUUACAAGUCUACUUAUGAUUGAGAAAAAUGAUGAGUAUUAGUCAGUAUUGCAUGUGGAGGAUUAAUUAGUCGGUCGACCUCAAAGCUAGUGCCCUAGCUGCUCUCUAUAUAGAGAUGAUGAUAUUGCUCAGUUAAACUACCCCACAUCUCUGCCCUUUUGCUGAUAAGGAAAUAAAUUACGUGCAAAGUGCCAAUAUAUAUAGUUUCACAUAAUUAGUACUGUUACAACUAGCAGAUUUGAAUUUAUAGCCACAUUGAGCCUCAAACACAAAUUGAUGAUCCAAAAACUAAACAUAUAUAUGAUUAAUAAUCAUUCAAGAAUCUAGUGAAAACUUUCAUCCAAGAUAUUGAGUUGCAGGCAUGGAGUAUCGGAUGAUGGUGAAGCAUCUAGUGAUGAUGUUAGGAGAAAAAGAACGAUAUUCAAUAAACUUAUUGAGUUUUUAUUGCUGGUUCAGAGCUUGAUCGAUAGGGUUUCCGAGAGCCUGAGGAAGGGUUUCGAUUUGGAGAGCAUAGAGAAGGAAGGAGAAGGAGAAGGAGAAGAGAGAUGGUUAACAGCUAAAGCAGGAAAGCAGAAAAAUGAGGGAAAAAGCCACAUCAGAACCGUAUCAUGGAUAACAGCUGUCAUACAGCUCAUUGGUCCACUGGAUUCGUCAACAUUACUAAACGACCUUGUUUUCAUAUUCAACUUUAGGGGUGAUCAAGUUUAUUCUAUUUCUAUGUUGUUUCUCCUAUUUUCUAUUCUUAUUACUGUUGGCACAGUAAAAUUCAAAAAACUGCACCUGAAUUGAUUAAGAAAUGAAACCCAGCAAAGGAAACUAAGAUAUGAAAGUAAACCAGACCCAGAUUCUUCCCUCUCUCUCUGAUAGAUAAAUGAAAAAAGAAAACAACAACAAAAAAAAAUAAAAAUCAAAUAAACAUAUACCACCCAACAUGAUUUGCUGCACCUAAAAUCUCUUUCACUCGAUCAAAACAUGCUCAAACCCGAAAAACUGUUAUCUCUUUCACUAUACAUACGACACAACCCAUAACAAAAAGAAAGGGAAAUUAUAUAUACAGGAGUUUUCGAACUAAAGCAAUGGAAUAGAUUGACCAACUCUAAAUCUUACUAAUCAAAAAAGAAGAAAAUAGCACCAAAAGAUUUCUAGGCGCGCGUUACUCUAACUAGCUAUCUGCCCUCUUUCUAUUAAGGAAAAGACUUAAUGUCACCAAUUAGAUGGAAAUGAGUUUAACUUAUAAGAUAUUAACUUCCACUAAUCAAUUGAUUGACCUAAAAUCGUACUAAACUACGAGAGAUGAUGAGGGAUUAGUGCAUGUUGAGACGUCGUUUAUAAUUGAGAGAUGUAUAUUUCGUGAUCGUCGACAUAUAUGGAUGGUUUGGACUUUGCACGUAUAUAUGGCCUAAAUUAAUUUAAGGGCUAGCCACCGAAUAUUUUGAAUCUUUGAGAACGAGAAAGAUCGAGUGCAACAUCGAUUACCCAAGUCAUGUAUUUUUCUCCACCCACUCAUUACUGUAGCUAGCUUGUCCACCUUAAAUAAUUCAAUCAACCCCCCUAAUGUCUUUCAUCAAAAAAAAUAAAAAAAUAAAAAAACUCCUAAGAGCAACUCCAACCAUGAGUCAAAUCCACGGUGAAGCUCCAACAGCAAUAAUUGACAACUUUCACCCAACUCCAACAAAGAUGUCAAUUUCACAUGGAUGACAAUUUUGAUUCAUCAUGUCAAAUUUGACCCAGGCUGAGCAUGUAGUCAUUUCUUUUUUUUACGAUUUCUCUCUCUUAUCUCCUCUUUCAUUCUCGUCGAUCUCUCUUUCUUUCUUUCAAAAAAACCCAAAUCAGACUUGCUGAUCUGCAAUUUAGAUAUAGAAAAACCAAUAGCAUCAAUACCUAAAGCAUCAGAUUGUUAUUUGAAGAUCAAGAAGAGGGAAAGCAGAUCAGGUUCGAGGGAAGAAGAGGAUUGCUGAUAAAAUGAUCAAAUUGCAGUCAGUGAAUGAGGAGGUAAUUAAUUCCAAAUUGCUUGAUCAAACAUACCUACACCCGGUAAAAAGAUUCGGUCUUUGUUCUCGAGCUUCUUGGCUACCUUAUCUAUGGAGGAUCAAAGACUUGCAGUUGCAGGAUAAAAGAUAAACUGGAAACUGAAAGAAAUAGGAUGUUGUGAUCGGAAAAGAAGAAAAGAAAAGUGUGAGAGGAGGAGAUAAGGAUAGAGUUAGUGGGGGUGUUUUAAUAAAACUAUUUAUCAAACUUUUGACCGGUUGGUUGGAGAGAAAAUUUUGUAGAAGGUUAAAUUCCAUGUCAGCAGUCAAAUUUGAAAUUUGACAAAAAAAUUUAACCUCCUCAUUAGAGAUGCUCUAAUGUCACACUUGGCAGCCUAGGGACUCCCCAUGUAUGGAUAUGAUGCUUUUGUUUGUGAGAACCAUCAAUAUAUAGUUGUUAAAUUCCAUGUUUUGGCUGAUAUAUAGAAUGUUAGAUUUUCCAAGCAAAUGUUUGCGUUGCUCUCUACCCAAAAAGAUGGUAUAAACUAAGAAUAGUUUGCACCAGUUAGUUGUGAAAGUGGUUCUGGUGAAAACUUCAUUCGUGAAAGAGGUUGAAACCUUAAGUGAGAAAUUUGCAAAUAAAGACCGGACAGAAAAGGUGGGAAAUUUUAGGUUUUAAAUGUUCUAGGUAGUUUCUUAUUUAUGAAAUCACUUGCUUUUCCUUUCUAUAUGAAUCAUAGAUAUUACAAUUUUUAGUAUUUAACAAAAAAACUUCAAUGGUAUGUUCAUGAAGAACGCUUUAGAAAGACCAUCUUUUCAAUACAGUUACUAAUUAUGCAUACCGUUGAAGAACGCUUAAGAAAGACCAUCUGGAAUUUCAAAAAGACUCGACAGCAAGUUGCUGAGAUUUACUUUUGAUCAAACUAGGAGACAGACUCGUACUUUCUUUCAAGAUCUCCAUAUAUGCUGAUGGAGCCUGAUGCGAAACAUAUUACUCAAAACCCAGGCUGCAUACUGCAUCAAGUAAACAUCAAUGCCCGCAACUGAGGGAUGAUGCCAUGGGUUACAAAACAAGAGCUCAUAAUGGAUUUACAAAAUUAUGUUCUCCUUAGAACCAAAGUUGAGCAUCUUCCGCUAUACACCUACUUGCUUAACAGAUUUUGCUUCAGGAUGGAUACUUCUAGCUUUCACUGACUUCUUCCGGAUCAGUUUCUGAAGAUGGGUUUUUGUGCUCCAAAGUCUGGCUGUUUUCAUGUCCCUCUGAGUUUUCAUCCUCAGAGUCUUGGAUCACAACAGAGUCAAGGGCAGAGUUGCAGACAGGUCUUUGUCUCAACCUAUUCUUAGCACCAGAGUUCCUGUUUUCCACAACUUGACGAUUAGUGCCUCCAGCUAGUCUUGAACUCCACCGCACACCACAAGCUGGCCAUUUUUGGGACAUGUCAUCAGUCUGAGCAUUGUUCUUCACUUGCUUAGAACUGCGUUUGUCACUGAGAUCACCAUCUUCUUCUUCUUCUUCAUUGUCCUCAUCCUUGGUGCCAUCAUCCCAAUUGUUAUCAUCCUCGUCAUCACCAGCAUCUCCAAGCAUGUCACUUUCAGUGUUACUAGAGUGGUAACCAGAAUCCCCAUCAUCAUUCUUACCAGAAUCCUUAUUAUCACUGUUUGCGGAGUGACUUUCUUUAUCUGAAUAUUCUGAGUUGGUGUCUCUUUCUGGGGCAUCAUUGUUAGCUGUGUCAUUCCUUCUACUCUUCCUUUCUUGCACUUUCUCUUCAGUAGUUUUCCUCUUACUGAACAAAAGGUAAAACUAAUCGGUCAGAAAAAUUGAGCACAGGAAAAGAACAGACGAUGUCAUGUAUAACUAAUUCUGGAGCCAUGAGCUGACAAUAAAGAAAUUUACGAAGAGAAUAAAAUGCAGCAUAGAUUACGAAAAAGUAACAUAUGUAGAGGGUAGAUAAAUCUGAAAAUAACUUUUUAUUAUUUCAACUUUUGCAAUUGAUGCAGGUCUGUAGAUUCCCUUUUAAUAGAGCAACAAAAGUGUUCCCUACCACCCAUAAGGGGAAGAGUAUGUGCUUCUCUACUUUGUGGAUGUGAUUAUGGUGCACCAAUGAAAAGGAUUAUAACAAUACUUCGUACAGAAGCCAUGAAGCAACAAAGAUCAUUUCUUCGACUGCAAAGAUACAGUCAGAUAUCUUACUUUGUGACUUUUAUAGCCUCAUGAAUUACCCGGUCAUAAUCAUCUGCAUAUUAUCCACAAGAGCAGACAUUAGAAUGUAAGGAUAUAAAACAAGAAAUUUAGGAAGUCACCAUAGUGAUACCAGUAUGCAACCACAACAAAAUAAGGAAUCAUUCCUCUUUUUAAUCCAAUUUUUCAAAGUUUGUACUGAAAUAUCCCUAAUAUCCCAGGCAUCAUAUUGAAGGAUGUUAGUUAAGGUAGAAUAUGAUCCAAUUACUACUUUCCACAUCAAUUGCAACUUACUAUGUAAUGACUAUGGGGCAUUCAUUAGAGUUAUAUUCUACAACUUCUGACCAUAACCUUCUCAGAUGGGCACCGUUUCAUUUUAUCAUACUGCAACAAUGACUUAGGGUUCACAAGGAGAUUGCUUAAAUUUAGCUAUGACUCACCAAACAAAAUUUGCACCCUUACCAAAUGUGUAGUUGACAGUCCUACGGUUGCGACAGGAACGUGUAAUUCCAGCACCAUAAAAGUUUGUUAAAAGAUUCUGCUGCCUCUCUUGACUUAGUUUCUUUUUCAGUUCCCUUUCUUUCUUCUGCAGCACACAUCAUUUUUUGCAUGAAUACCAAAGAAUACAAGAAUAAGACUGAAUAAAGUUCACUGGUAAAUUGCUACUGAACCACUAAUGAUUAAGCAUUCUUAAAAUGAAUAGCCACAAAAAGAUAGCAAAACAUUACCUUCUGAAGUUUCUCAAGAGCAGGAAUAGCAUCAGUUUCAAUACUCUUAGCGGCAUCACGUUCUCCUGCAACUUUGCUUGAUGAGAGUUCAUCCUGUCAUUACAGCAAGGAAUAGUUAAUGAUGGAUUUCAGUCCUGGAAUAAACAAAAUGUUUGACUUACUAUAACUUUCUGAAAUUCAUCGAGGUUGGUUGCUACUGUUUCCCACUGGAAACUGAUAUUUGGUAGGUUCAAACCCCCUUUCCCCUUAACAUUUUUCUUCGACUCGAUGACAGUUACUUCCUUGUAUAAUCUAUGACCAAUUAUUGUAUUUCCAUCAUACCUGACAAAGAUAUUGUAAGUGAUAUAAAAACCAAUUUUUAUAUUGGACACAUGAAAUUCACCAUGACAUAUCAAAGGAUUACCAAUAAGAAGUUCCCUUUUCGUCUCCUCCUAUCUUAUCCUUGCGGAAUGAAGAAAUUUCAGUUCCUUCUUUCAGGGCAUCAUUAAUAUAAGCCACUGCAUCAUCUUGCUGGAUACAAAAAGAAUGAGUAGAUUAUUUCACACAACCAGAAAUUGAAGGGGAAAACAAAACAGACACCUGUAUAUGUAUUGACAUGUUCAGGCACAACGACAAUUGCUAACAUAAAGCUAGGAUGUUUGGUAGUCACAAAGCAUGUACACCACAUGAUUAAGAAACACAAAAAUGACAAAGGAGUAACUACAUCGGCUCGGAGUUCACAGAGUGCUUUUAACAUAAGUAGACGCUCUGUCGGAUCAAGUCCUUUAUAGCGUGAUAUUUCCUCUCUGCAGGAAAAAAAAAAAAACUGUCUUUACUUAAUAUCACAUUUUGAAUCUAAUAAUGUAUAGUCAAUCUAGCUUGUUUCCAUACCCUUUAGCUACCACAAGUGGAAUCUUCCCCUCAGCAACCUGCAGUAAUGAAAAAGAUAUUCAGCUGCAGGUUAUACACGUACUAACACAAAAUUCCUACUGUCUACCAGAUUUUCUUUACUAACUGGCUAAUCAUCAGGAAAAAAUGAGAAAAAACUGAGCUGAAUAAACCUCAUGUAUUUAUGUUAUGGACAGACUAAACAAAUUUUCCAAACAAAUUCAGCAAGUCUUGCAUUUUUCAUUGAAAAAGGACUCACCCAUGGCCACCACGUUACAAGUUUCUUACAAAGAACAGUCACCCAUGCAUCAGAACCAUCCAGUGUUUUACUCGCUGGUGGUGUUCCCUGAAAAAACCACAGGUCAUAGAAAUGAAAUGAAGAUGACCAUAUGUGUAAAAAGAAUGAAAAUAGACACAGAUGACCCAGACACGAUGAGAUGCACCACUCAUGGUGUGGUUUUCUUGUUACAGAUUACUCAAAUUUAUUGUUUAAAAAUAUUAACCAGCAUUUCCAAAAAAAUAAUAAUAAUUCAUAUUUAUUUUGCUGAAUCAACCUGCCUUUUGCAGUUUGCCAAAAUACAGCAUGAGAAAUCCAUUCUUAUCAUAUCAAGGUUUAGUAGAAAGCUUCAACAUCCAAUGGUAACUAAAUAUCAAUAAAGGAAAAUCAUAGCAAGUGCUAAGAGCCCUCAGUCCAGGUAAAUCCAUGUUUCACAUUAGAACCCAUCAAACCAAGCCAACUAUGGCAGUAGCAUAGCCAUAUAUAUGGCAUCUCACAAGCCACAACAGAAAAGUGAAUAUAAUAUCAUAUACUAUUAAAAGUAUGUACAACAGAUAACCAAACAUAUGAUUAAUAUGGCUUAAACAAGUGUAAACAAUCUAAGGACAUCAGUUAUAUGAUGACUGCAUUUACGAAGUAAAUAGUCUAUCAUAAAUGCAGUCAUUACAUGAUAAAGAAAAGGUAGCAAAUACACGUGUGAUCUAAGGCUUUUGGGUAAUCAAAGAUCUGAUACCAUGAGUCCAUGAUCACACAAUCAGAUCAUGACAGUGACACCAAACAGAAAAUUUUUCAUAUAUCCAAUGAAUUCAUCACAAAUUUCAGAUUUUCUAGUCAACAACAAUUAGGUCGACUUCUUGAAUUAUAUACUUCAAAAUCUGAUUUGUGAACCAGAAUAUCGGCAAUACUUGAGGAAUCUAACAGAAUAAGACCAAUGAGAUAACAAUCAAGAUAUAUCCAGAGUCAGUUUCAGCAAUUUGAUGCAUAACCACUGUUUAAAAUUUUAAACAAGUGCAAAUUCUCUAAAGUUGAAGUAUUCAUAUUCACUAAAGAGAAAACUCACAAGUACAAAUUCAUCAAAGGUGAAGGGAUAGAAGGUCCCAGACCGUAUGUGGUCCAGAAAAGAUUCUUAAAACCAGACCUAGAUAAUAUAUGGGGCAAAGGGAAAAGGGAGAGAACUGAUAUCUAGAGAUGCUUCUCAAAAUUGUCAUACUAGGAGAAAAAAAUACUCUUUCUACCAGACACGGCAUAAAAAUGUGUUCAUAAUCUUUUAAAGAUAAAGACUCAAUUCAUCAAGGCCAUAGGAAGAAUUUGACAUCAUGCGAUGCAUCAAACUGGACGAAAUGAGUUCACGUUUGAUGCUCUUGUGCUACAGAACCAUUAUGCUCCCUUCCUAGUAAUAAAAGCUAGACUCCAACUGAGUCUUCACUCUCCACCAAAACAAACUAUCCGUUCAACCACGCUAUUCCAGAAAAAGGAUCAUAUAAGAUAACCAAAUGUGGGCAAACGUAACCCAUAACGACUAGUUGGAAACAAGAACAUGAAAGAGCUCAACUAGUAUACUCCUGCUUCGUUUAAGUUUCAGUAAACAACAUUACCAGGCUGAACAUUUGUGGUAAAACAAUCAGGCUACCAGUUAAAUCAUAUAACUACCACAAGGACCGAACAUGGUUUAGUUCAAAUCCAUCAAAGGCACAAUAUACUCUUUACAGCAUAAAUUUUUACGUUCAAGCACAACCCAGAUGAACCUUUGGUCACACAUUGCUAAACAAAAGAGGAAUAAAGGUAGCAUUUCGAACCCAAUUUCAUACCAAACAGUAAAAACAAGUUGAUUGAGUAGAGACAAAACAAGACCUUCAAAAGGGCAAUGUGAAGCUGAGCAAGUGAAUCGUUUGGGGUUACCAAACCCAUCUCGAUCUCUUCCGCCGAUGCUUUAGUCCCAAUCACUGGCUCAAACACCUAAACACAAAAAAUCAAAAACUCAUAACUACAAAAACCAAUCGAAUCUCACUCCGAAACCCCGAAAGAUAGGACCUUUCACCGUUAAAAAGUUGAAGACGGAGGCUAGCUCCCACCGCUUACGGAGCUUCGCAAUCUCAUCAUCCUGAUCGUCCAUCUUUACGUCUUCCUCCGCCGGCCGCUUUUCUUUUCCGGAGAGGACCUCCGUCGCCGGCUGUGCCACGCGGCCGGACCGCCGAACCCCGGCCAUCUGGAGAUGCUUACACAGAGAGAGAGAGAGAGAGAGAGAGAGAGGGGAGGAGAAGGGGCUUGAGAUUUUGGGAGGGAGAGGUGAUUUUCCCGCCUAAAUGUUUUAUUUUACCCACAGCUUGUGGUGAAGGUUAUAUUUCUAGGUUAUUUUCAAGGUCAGUCUUUUGGAUUCUCAGACUCUCUUUCUCUUUCUAUCAGACUCGAAACGCACCGUUUUUGGCAGUUUCAGAUCUCACUAGGAUUAUGCACCUUCCUACAAGCUUAAUUGGCUGCUUUUGGGAGUAGCAGGUUUAUUUGUGUUUAAGUUCCUUUUUUAUUUUGUUUGUGAAGAAAGGCGUGUGGAUGGAAGAACAUUGCUCUUAUGUUACAUUGGUCGUAGCAAGUCUUUUAACUUGAGCAUUACUUUGAAGAAGCUCGUCCCUAAAUCACAUUUCAUGAACUUAGGUUCCCCCAAUGCCAUACAUGUUCAUACUCCCUUACAUUGUUUGUUGUGAUUUUUGUGUUUUAGAAAGGUAACAACUUUAUAUAAUAUGAUCCAAACUUACAAACUUAAAUGGUUACGUAUGAAAAAUGUUUAAUUUCAAUCACAGAGCUAACUAUAGACUUAGACAAUUAGUACCAAGCUUCCCCUUAUAUACUACAUCAGAGAGGUGGCUGGACCAUUGGCGCCAAUGCAUAGUAUAUCUCAUCCAAGCAGUUACAGCACGAAUUGAAGCAGACGGGAUAUCCUUCAUCUUGGCUGCAAGCCCGGUGACAUUCACGUAAGCAGAGAUGUGCCUUUGCGAUAACACUGCUAUGUAGUUUUUUGUGUCCCACCUGCAUUGACAACUAUCUAAGACCAGGAAGUGGUUUGUAAACGAAGCGAAACAUAUUGAACAAUGAUCGAGACCUUAAAAACCCCAUAACAAGAUCAUUGAGAAUCAAUUAUAUAAUUUGCAAGGACCUGAACAAAUCAAACCUAAGAAAGGUUAAUAACUAUACACUCCUUCAGCUUUACACAGUUCAAAGUAGAGGUUACAGUUACACUUGCAGACCAUAUUAAUUAGACACACAAGGGCAACAAAGAAAGAGCAGCACGCAAGAAUGAAGAAUUGGGGUCUGGUUUUCUUUGCUCUUCUGCUUCUUCAAACCAAAGGCGUGUCCAAUUUAUAUAUCCUGAAUAGAAUCACCUAGUAUGCUAGUGGGUUCAGUGCCUACUGGUUAAUGUACGUCACAGUUAAGACGAGUAAAAUUUCAGGGUUGUUAUUUCUUAACAUGAUCCGAUUGCAAAACCAAAAGCAUAACAUGAAAAUCUCAAGUACUAGAGUCAUUUAAAAGUAACUUACAUAGCUGAAUUCACAUCCAAAGUCUUUUGUGCAUGUGUAAUUAAUGAGUCCACCUCUGCAGGACGUUCCCACACCAGCAGCAGAGUUGCCAGGGGAACUGGAAGUCAGGAAGAAGACCCCCCGACAUAGAAAGAUGACGAUUAUGACGAACGCAAUGAACAUUAUUACAUCAGUCUCUGACAGACUUGGACGAUCUUGAGCUGCUGGCAUUUUCUUCUUUGAUUUUGUUUUUCGAUUAAAUCUUUCAAGGGAGGAGGUUGGUGAUAGAAGAAGCAGAGAGUUUGUUUGGUCUGAGAGAAGAAGAGAGUUUAGCCAAGGUUGAAGGUCUCUGUUAAAAUGGGAUGUUCAACUAAAGGAUUCAUGAUUUAUUCUAAUCUUUUCGUUUUUAUAGAAUGAAGAUAAGACGUGUUUGGUAGGAGAAUCCAAAUUAAUCAAGCUAGGAAUCUAGGAAUUGCAGACUAGGUUCCAAACUUCUCUCUACCCUAUUAAAUGUUGUUCAUUUUUAGAGUGUUCUUUGUAGCUACCAUUUUGUUCAAGUAGCCAGAGAGGGAAAUAACCAAGCGUCACACAUCUUGUUGAUAUUGAUUGGGUUCGAGUGUUUGACAAGAUAAUUUGACUUGUGCUGAUCAGGUACUGAUUUGUGUGUAUUGCUUGUUUUACAUAUCGUAUUUUCAAAAAUAAAAGCCUUACUUUUAUAUUUAAGAAGCUCAUUAUGCUUAGUAUUCAGGGAGAGGAAGUUGAUGGAGAAAGCAUAUGAAAUCAUUGCAUAUCAAAGAAGUGGUGAUUGCAUAUGAAAUGCAUUCAUGUCUAAUUGUCCUGAAUGAAUAAUAGCAGAAGGAAUUAGAGAUGGAUAGUAAUGGCUGGGGAGGCAUCCUUCCUGCUGUAUUCAGAAAUCACAGAAAGCUUGCCUUGUCAAGUCCAAUGGCAAACUAUGUUCAUGGCCAUAAGCCAUAAUUUCAGAAUCAAAAAGAGGGAGAGGCUUCUCUAUUUCUGAAGCACAUUUUGUGUCUUCGAAUCUGACUCAAAUCGGAAAAUGAAUCCCUGAAGAACACCACUCGAUUGAUCAUAUCAUCAAGUCACCCCAAUCAAUCGAGAUUGCACAGUCACACGAAACAAGAAGCAACUCAAAUUUCACCAAUUAGACUCAUAAUCUCAAACUAGUCCAUUACAGCUCUAAUAGAAAUCAAGUCGCACAAGAAAACUAACCCAACAGGGUUUAGGGUUUUAGCCAGUGAUCAUAGUCCCAGCUCCUUCAUCAGUCAAAACCUCAAGCAACAGAGAAUGUGGUUUCCGGCCAUCAAUAAUACUAGCAGUCCUCACUCCCUGAGCCAAUGACCUGACGCAGCAGCUCACUUUCGGAAUCAUCCCUCCUCCGAUUUUCCCAUCCUCCAUCAUCUUCUUCACUCCUUUAAUAUCAAUCUCCUUCACCAAGCUACUCGCAUCCUCUCGGUCCUCCAAGAUUCCGGCCACGUCAGUCAGCAGAAUCAGCUUCUCCGCCCCCAGCGCCGCCGAGAUUUCUCCGGCCACCGUGUCCGCAUUGAUGUUGUACUGCUGCCCGGACUCAUCCGACGCCACGGAAGCGAUCACCGGAAUGUGGCCGUCGUCAACGAUCGACCGGAGAAUCGUCGGGUCCACACGCGCCACCUCCCCGACGAACCCUAAUUUCGUGGCGUUCGGGGCGGGGCGGGCGGUGAUGAGCCCGCCGUCGGAGCCGCAGAGCCCGAUCGCCUUCACGCCUUCCCGGUUGAUCAGCGAGACCAGAUUCUUGUUGACCUUCCCGGCGAGGACCAUGGAGACGAUCUCCAUCGUCGCGGCGUCGGUGACGCGCAGGCCGUCGUGGAAGUUGACCUCGAUGUUGAGGCGCUUGAGCCAAAGGUUGAUCUCCGGGCCGCCGCCGUGGACGAGAAUCGGGCGGAGGCCGACGCAGGCGAGGAGGACGAGGUCUCUGACGACGGUGGCCUGGAGGCUCGCGUCCUUCAUGGCGGCGCCGCCGUAUUUCACCACGAUGGUUUUGCCCCGAAAUUUCCGGAUGAAAGGUAGGGACUCGGAGAGAAUGUCGACCCGGAGCUGACCCGGAGUGGGCAGGGUCGGGUCCGGGGCGUGUUGGGCUUUGAUUGGAAGAGAGUGCGGCGGUUUGGGGCGGAAGGUGAGGCGGGUGUUGGGGAGGAGAAGAUUGCGGCGGGUUUUAAGGGAAGGGAAUGAGAGAGAUGGAGGAGAAGGGUUUAGUAGGGUUUCGGAAGCGCCCAACAUUUUGAGAGAGAGGAAAACUGGGAUUCGGGUCGGGCGUGGAUGACGAAGAUGAUGGAGAUGGUUGUGGCGGCUUUGCUGGGUUUAUAAACCAGAGAGAAGUGUUUCUUACCCGAAUUGAAGAAAGUGAGACAGUAAAAUUUAUAUUUACUGUGGGUACUGGUACCUCAAAGUGUGAUUUAUAAUGAAACUAGAAUUAUACCCGCGCCUUGGCGCGGUGUAUACAUUUACGGUGUGUUUGGACGUGGGUGAAUUUCCGAGAAUUUAAUAAAAAAUAAGGAAUUCUCAAUUUCUUAGGACGGUUUUUCUCGUUUGGAUACUUAUCUCAUGGAAUUAGCAAUUUUCACAGAAAAAUAAUCGUGAAAUUUGGGAGCUUAAAUUUUCGACUUGAAUUCCUUACAAAAUAAGCAUCAUUUGUCAAUUUCUUUAACUAAGAUUAGUCUGAAUACAAAUUCUUGUCAUUUUAAAACUCUACAUCAUGAAAUCCAAACAAUGAAAUUCUCAAUUAAUAGGAUUUAAAUUCAUGGAAUUGUAUUUUGAAAUUUCUAUGGACACAUCAUGAAAUUCAAACAAUGGAAUUCUCAAUUAAUAGGAUUUAAAUUCAUGACAUUGUAAUUCCCAUGAUUUUAAAAUUUCUAUGGACAUUAAAAUUACUUUAUCCAAAAACAACGUUAUGAAGCUGGUCAAUGGGUUAAUUGAUUGAUAUAAAUCUUUCUGAUAUGUACUUCAAAGAAUUUUAUACAUGUAAAUUAUACUCAGCUGUUAUACUGAUUAUAUAUCUAGAGUUAAUGACAAUAUUGUGGUUUCUUAAAAAUAACAGGGGCAAAAUGGUCAGUAUAUCCGCUCCUUAGCACGGUGUAGUAUCUACAUUAUGUAUAUUCCACAUAUGUAUAAGAGUUAUCACAAAAACAACUUUUAUAUAACAAAAUAUCUAGUCUUGUAUUCUACCCAAAAUAUAAAUGCUCCAAUUGUUUUUAUUUGUAAGAUUUAGGAGACAGAAGAAAAGUUUAAAUUACAUGUCUAGAAAAUCUAAAUUACCUAUCUAGUCUUGUAUCCUAUCUAGAAAAAUCUAAAUUACCUGUUUCAGAAAAAAUAAAAAAUAAAGAAUUCACUGUUGUUAAUGAACAGGGUAAAAACACUGUUCAUAGGCUGAAUACAAAUUCUAAAAUUCCCGAUUUGAAUUCCUCAUAAAAUAAGCGUCAUUUAUCGAUUCCCUUAACUAAGAUUAGUCUGAGUACAAAUUUUUGUCAUUUUAAAACUCUAUAUCAUGAAAUCCAAACAAUGAAAUUCUUAAUUAAUAGGAUUUAAAUUCAUGAAAUAGUAAUUCUUAUAAUUUUAAAAUUUCUAUGGACAUUAAAAUUACUUGAUCCAAAAACAACGUUAUGAAGCUGGUCAAUGGUUAAUUGAUUGAUAGAAAUGUUUCUGAUAUGUACUUCAUAGAAUAUUAUACAUACAAAUUAUACCCAGCUAUUAUACUGAUUAUAUAUCUAGGGUUAAUGAAAAUAUUGUGGUUUCUUAAAAAUAACAGGGGCAAAAUUCUUGGUGCGGUGUAGUUUCCACGUUAUGCAUAUUCCACUUAUGUAUAAGAGCUAUUACAAAAACAACUUUUAUACAACAAAACAUCUAGUAUUGUAUUUUACCCAAAAUAUAAAUGUUCUAAUUAUUUUGAUUUGUAAGAUUUAGGAUGCAGAAGAAAAGUAAAAAAUGGAAGGCAAAAAAAUCUUUGCUAAGAGAAAGCUUAUCUAAAAAAAAUCUAAAUUACCUGUUUUCAAAGAAAAAAAAAUCACUGUUCAUAUGCCUAUGAUAUGAACAGUCGACCAAGCUUUAAUAAUAGAUAAAUAACGGCGGGUGUGGGAAAAAACCAAUCUAACAAGGUUUUGUGGCUCUGAUACGAUGUUUGAAACUUCGAAUAGAUACCGACCAAUUAAAACUCUAUCCGGCCGCUUGAGAUAAAUCAAUUAAUCUCAUGUGUUGUACGUUUUUCAUGAAAAAAACCAAUCAAGCUAGCGACCACGACCACCGGACCACGAGUACGUAUGGAGUCCUUCUGCUAUGGACCAUCGAUCUGCUUCACCGGAAAGUGAACCUUACGGCAGACAAAAGAACCAGACAGAUCUAGACUCGAGACCACUGGUCUUUCAAUCUGUUACACAUGAUUGGUAUUAAGGUAAAAAUGCCAUUUUGGCAGUUAUGCAAAGAGAAUGAACGAAUGAACUAAAAGCCAAGGAAGUCUGAUGCAUCAAACAACUGCAUAUAUAUAAAAACGAUGGAUCGAAAUUAAAAGCGAACGAAGAAAUUGAGAGGAAAUGUUUCCAAAUAUUAUAAUUUCCUGCUUGCAUGCAUGAAUGUACCAGGGAAUCUAACUGGUGACCACUGACAAGCAAGAUCGGAGAGAUGCAGGUUUAAUAGAACCCGGCCCCUUGUGCAUAAUGCAAAGUUUAGGCAAGAAAGUAAAGUGCGCAUAUAUAAUGCAAACCCUAGUUAAGAUUAUUUAGUGCAGUUAGGCAAGUGCUCAUGCUUAGGAGGGAUUGCUUUAAGCACCGGAUUGCUCUCGAAGAAAUUGGUUGGCCGGAGCUCAAAUCCACCGCUUAAUGUUGGCAUCACCGGAAAGUCUUCUUGGCAAGGAACAUGGUGAAAUCCCAUGGUGUACCAUAACACUAUGUCCUUAUUCUCAAUCUCUCGGUUCCUGCACAUGAUCAUAUAUUGUUUAAGGAGACUAAUUAAAUAGCUAAUACAGAAAAAUUAAGUUGCAAAUUUAAGUUUCCCCUCCGGAAAUGUUAAUAUUGUGACUGAUAAAAUAGCUAAUUAACUACCUGAGGCUCCAAGUAGCCAAAGUGUCAUCUCCACGGCUCUGAUCCAUGAACUGACCUCCUGCCCAUUUUUCCGACUUGUUAUAAGGUGUGACCCAUACAUUGUAGUUGGUGAAGGCACCUCGGAUUUGUGGGUAAUCGUCAUGGGACAAAAGUGGGUUUGAUACUGAUCCUGGGAUUAGCCGAUACCCUAUGUUGUUUCCAGGUUUUGUUUUCUUGUUAGGGUUUAUCAAGACUAGGUCAGCUGGCUUCAAACCCAGUUGAAUUUUUGCAUCUGAUUCUGUCUUCGCUGUUUCGCUAACAACUGUCCAGUAACUCUUUCUCGGUGAGCUAUGAUCUGUUACUCUUUUUGUCACCAGAUUGUUCUUGACAAAGGAGUUGGCUUCGCCAUCCACAUCGAGAUCAAGAUAGUAGGUUAAAAAGUGAUCAUGGUAUACCCCGAGGGUGUAAUCUGCAAGCAAUGUACCAUAAGCAUCCUCCUUUAUUUGAUCAGUAUGUGUGUAUGGCGCCCCCUUCACCUCUAGUAUUCCUGUUAGUCCAACCUGUUGAGAGAGAGAAGAAACUGUCUUGUUAAAUGAAAUUAUGAAUCAAGGGACUGGAUAUAACAGUUCAUCAUAUGAACGUACCCCAAACUUGAUCGAACCGCUUGGCUUAAAUUCCCAGUCAAGUACAUAAUCAUAGUUCCCCACAGUCGAAACCAUCCUCACUAUCAAGUUCACCUCUGGUCUAACCUCGGUUAUCUACGUACAUUAAAACCAUAUUAAGCUCUCGUAUAAGAUAUCACAAAUUUGUUUAGAUCAAAACUGAAAAUGAAUUUUCUUACUCCUGGAAUUACUGUUUCAGUGUGCCGCCACAAGGCACUCCCAGCAUGUUGCUCAAAUAUGCAAAAAGCAUUUGUUAUAUUCACCGGAGUCCCAUCUGAGUUAGCAUAGUGAGCGUCCAUGAAUACAGCAUUUUCAGGGCAAUCGGUCAAGGGCUCUAGGGGCGAAGCAGAUUGACCAAACCCAAAUUCACCGGCGUCGAAGAAGGUCUUGUAGUACCAUUCUUCAGUUGGGUCCAUGUAUGGCACAAAUAGCUCGGAUAUGAAUGAUCUGUACAAUACUUGACGGUAUGUUGCCUUUUCGACGUCAAAAAUCGAUGCAGUAGAAAUUACCGGACCAGCUCGAACAUCGAAUCCGAGAUGGAAGACCCAGUUAGCCCAACUGAAUUAUUCAGAAAACACAAUUAAGCAGGCUCUCCUAACUCAGUCGGGAAUACACUAUUUGCCACCACAUUUUUAAAAACUUAGGCCAUACAGACACCCGCUAAUAGGGAGUUUCAUAUUUUACUUGAUCAUUAAGCAGCAAAUAUCAUAUAUAAAAAUGGGAAAGAUGUGAUUAAUUAGGUACGGUCUAAGAUGCAUGACCUAUCAGCUACCACCUUCUUGGCCUCUUGGGUGUGCAUGGUGGCUUUAGUAUACAUAGCUAACGUACAUACGUUAAACAGAAAACUAGCUUAGACUUGGCAACAUCAAGAUUCGUUUAGAUUCAACAUCUCUUUUCUCUCUUUUUUUGGAUGGACAUCUCGACAACUAGGACAAAAUAGGCACGUCGACAUUUUGGACCGGGUCGAUGCAUACUCUCAACUCAAAAUUAUAACUUACCAUUCUCUAGUGAUAAUCUACUAUUCUACUUGUCUUAUUUGUUUGAAGGUAUGCAUGUUUUUGAAUGUUUUCUCCCAUAUGUGAGAAAUGAUACCUUAUUGUGUGCCCGUCAAUCUUAAACCCAGGUCCGUCUGGCUGCACAAUGGCGAAACCAUUAAAUCUGGGACCGAAAGGUGGCUUCUGCUUCGACAGCCGAUACUCGGUUCCUUGAGCUUUCGGCACCGGAACCCUAUCCCGGUCAUAAUACUCAGCUAUCUUUAGUUCAUCAAGAUCAACCACCAGUGAUAUUCCCUCCAAGGGCCUCAUGUACAAGUUAGGUGUUCCCUCAAUAUAGUAACACAAAACUUUGAUCACUCUUUUCUUAUGUUCUUCGCCAAACCACCCGACUGAAAACGUGGUGCAAACCACCUCGGACAAGUUAUGCCCCCUCUUCUUCACCGAGUUGAUAAAUGGUUUGUAGGACAGUGGGAGCUCACUUGCGACUGUUUGUUCAUCAAAUGUUAGCAAAGGGUAGCCGUGUCCACCGUAGACCUUAUCGGAGACUACGGAACGAGUUGAUAAGUCCACUACCAUCUCGUGGGAGUGUUUGUCGAGCCUUGUUAUGACAAAGGCUCGGCGAGGUAGGGUUUUGGGUUUUGGUUUUGGUUUCGACAGCCAUGACUUGACUAGGGAUUUGUCUGGCUCGUCUAAGGCUAUGUACUGGAAAGUGAGGUUGUGGAUGGAGCUGGGGUAAGAUUUUCUGACGAUAGUUCGGACCCGAGUGAACUCAGACUGGGUUAGAGGGUCUAGUGGGUGGUACCGGCCGAGGCAUGGGAUUGGUGAGAAGGUGAAGAAGGAAGAGAGAAAGAAGAAGAGCAUCAAAGUUGAAGAAGCCAUGCCAGCUUCUCCGUGCAUGUUGAAGAAGAAAAUGUUAUAGUUUUGUUCAUAAAUAAGCUAAUAUAUAAUUCUGGUGCAGUUAAGUAAUUACUACGUCGGAGCUUUAUUUAAAAUCGAAUAAUAGUCAACAACUACUUCUAAGUACUAAACUGUGCAUGCCGAAACUUCUUAAUUUUCAAUGAACUUGAACUUUGAACCGGAAAAAAUAACUUGCUGCAAUUACAGUCUUUAGAAAACUGUAAGUCUAUAUAUAAUUAAUCAAACUUUACUGUAGGAUCCGUAUGAUUUGGGUCUUCGAAUAUGGUAACAUGCCUUUUAAUUUACAUGUGCACUUUGCUCAAAAAUUCAUCUUGAUCAUGUUCAUUUAUCAACUGUUUGUUACAAUUUCGAAGUACAUACUAGGUAAAAGUAGAACAUAACCUUAUCUUAGUCUACGAGUCAUAAAAUUUUCUAACUAUUAGUUUAGCUUGCUCUCAUAUGCUAGCUGUCAACUUAUUGAGAAAUUGUCAAGGUCGUACGAGAUUGUGACACUGAAGCUAAUGCUUUUGUAUUAUCUCCCAAGUUUUCUUCAUUGAAAAGUUUGAACAUAAUUAGCAAACUGAUAAGGAUUCAUAGUUAGUCUUCCCACUCUUCCCAUGAGUCUCUGUCCAGAGAGAUUAACAGAAUAGAUUUACUAAACAUUUAACAAUCAUGUCGUCAGUCUUUUCUUAAUCACACUGGGAUUAAAGCAUUAUAUUAGCCAAUAAUCACAAAUAGGCAGUGAGAAUAGAAUAGAACAGUCAAGAAUGUCCUCUUCUUUUGUUGCUCUUAUUUUUUGACUUCUUUGAUAUAUGAACUCUACUUUGCCUGGGUUUCUUUCUAAUUUCAUUAUCAUGCGUCUUGGUCUAGAUAGGGAUUGUCACAACACUAUCAACUUAACCAGAAAUCUCAAUACAAGAACUUCUCAUAAGGCGGCUUUUGCUGCAGUUUCAAACACGACAUUUGCAACUCCAUAUCAAAGAGCAAUGACAUGUCUAACUUGUCUUCCUUGAUGCUUUGAAAUGUAAAACACUUAUGAAAAUGAAGGAGUUUUGAUUAUCUUACUAACAGUCAACAAUCCACACUAUGAUAAUCACAUCAGACCCAAAACAAAUAUUUGGUUUGGUUAGUAGCUUCGUUUCAGCAGCACGGCAGCACAUCACCAAAAUUAACCAAUUUCGCCGAUGUUACUACUACCAGAUUCCAAAACAAACUCUCCAUUUGGGGGUGGGGGGUACAAUAACCAUCAUCCACCAUCUACACAGUAGCCAGCCUAAAAGUAUAUCACAAAACACAAAUUAAAAAUUAAAAAAUAAAUAAAUAAAGAGGGGGGGAAUUGGGCGCACAAGUGACGGUUAGACUUGAUAAAAUUGUUGUCAUCAGUUCAAGUUUCCUAAAGAAUGUUCAUCACCUUAACAAGCUCUGAAAUUAUGUUCCUCGAAGAUACUCCAAUUGCUUUGUAUUCGCCAGUAAUAUCUGUCAUAAGACUCAUUAAGCAGUGGUCAUCCACAUGACAACAGAUAACUUUUCAUUUGAAAAAAACAAUAAGUAAAAAAUAAAAAAUAAGAAGUAAGAAGUAAAAAGCGCUUAUAUUACUUCUCUAAUGUAAUCUGCAACUGCCUUGCACCCUUCUAUUGCAAGUUGCUUUACAUUUUCAAAAGUAUCCAAGGACAACUUAGCAUCCAUCUGCAUUGAAUAAUAUCACAAAUGAGCGGUUUACAGCAGAAGGCACUGAUUGAUAUGCCCAAGGUUAACUAAAACAGUUAUCGUAACUUAAAAUUGAGAAGAGACGAUUAGAUCACAGAUUUUGAUUUUAAGAACCUGAAGAAAGAGUCGCUUUGUCCAACUUCGGCAUAAUUCCUAAAGUGACAUCAGCACCUCCAGCACUAUCUUCUAUAUAGUUUAAAUCUGUCAAGCCAAUAAAAGUAAGGUCUUAAUAAUUUGUACUUUUGUAGUACCGGUAUGAAGGCAUUAUAGGGAACCCAACAAAAUGUAUUAUAUGUAAAAUAGAAAUUUAAGUGAAUAUUUACCGAGUAGAGGUGUGUUAUUAAGGUACCCAGCACUGCAGGAAGUGACAAGAUCUCUCAUUGGAAUUCCAGCAUCUGCAAGGGCCAGGGUUGCAGCAUUGAUACAUGCAGAUCUAGUUCUUGCAACAACAUAAAAUGCGGAAGCAUUGAGUAGAUAAUUAAACUCACAAAUAGAUCUUCUUAUUCUUAAUUGAACCGGUGAGGCAGCCUAGUAUCAAAAUUAAAAGUGAUACACAGAAGUGCUUUGGGAACAGUCCCACUUGAAUACAAUGAAAAAAAUAAAAAAACAAUAGCAAACAGUCAACUCACAGCAUACUUGGACCCUUAAUGAGAAUGGCCUUAAACAGAAGUACCACAAUGCAAACUAGUUGACAACAUGCAAUGAAUUAAGAAGGCCUCUUUUUCUCAACAAAUAAGCCUGAAUCUACUAUAUAUUGGAUAACAGAGGAUCAAGCAUGAGUUGGUGCAAACACAGAAAAAAAAAAAAAAAAAAAGGAAAGCAGCCUUGACAUUACAUAAUCUGAAAGUACAGUUUAUCAACAGGACUUAGGACCGCAUAGAGGCAUUGAUAUUUACCUCCAUCUGCUUGGAGAAUUUGCACAACAAUGUCUAUCUGCAAAAAACAUAUACAAGGUACAAGACUUUAGACAAGAAAAACUACAAACUCAAGCAGGAAAAAUUCCCAAUAUAAUACAACUGAAGCUGAGACAAACCUGAGACCGAGGCAUUAAGUUUGUCAAAAUGCAUUCUUCCAUGGUUUGGCGAAUAACUAGAGAUAUCUCAGUGGAUCUCCUGAGAGCAUCAAGGACAGACAUAUUGGUCAUCAACAUUAGUCGAGUAAAGGAUACAAAACCGUCAUGCUAAACUUAAAUACAAGAUGAUCUCAAGCACAUAUGCCUGGAGACUCAAAAGGGAUAGAACAUAUAACCUAUCACCCUUCGGUUUUCUCAUCCGAUCUCCGGUACUGAAAUUUGCCAUGGCGUAUUCACAUCUCACCUAUAUAUAUCAACAAUUACAGAGAGCCGGUAUACUUAGAGAGAUAAUAAAUGCCUCUUAAGUUAACAUCUUAAGCAUCACAGACAUAAGUUUAGUUUAGUUUAGCUUAAUAGACAGGACAAAUUAUAUUACCAAUGCAUUGGCAUUCAGUUGUUGGCUCCUAUUUUGGACCUGAAAAACAAAGUAAAAAUUAGCAAUAGCUUGAAUGGAUAUACAUCUAAAAUGUGAUGAGAUUUUUGAAUAGAUAAUGAGUGUGCAUGUUAGCUAUAACUUUAGCUCGUAACUGAACAGCAUUAGAAACCCACAAGAAAAAGUGACUGACCUCUCUGGGGCCAUAUACAGCAGCAAUAACUUUGGUGUUACCCAUUUCGAACAUAGCAGAACUGAAAUUUGAUAUGCAAGAUAAAUUAGUACCAACAUAAAAAGAAGUUACAAAAACAGGAAGAAAGGUUUAGUGUUAGCACCCGUCGGCUUUUUUUGGAUACAACACCAGCUCGAAUGUGCCUCACCUGAGAUCAAAUUAAAAAGAAAAUUAACCAACUCAUCACAGAAAAAAUUCAACACAAAAGAAAAUCAGAGAAUAGACGAAUACUUCCAUGGGACGGCGACCAACUAAGCGAAAACCUUCAGGGCUUACGAACUCCAUCUGUUGCAAUAUCAUAACAAUUAAAUUACAAAACUCUUACUAACAAGGGAUAAUAGUCAUAAUACUAGAAAAUACAAUCAUCAUCUAACAUUUUAACAUCAGAGAACCAAACUGCAAGAACAUCGCAGUUUACUAUUAGUUUCUGGCAACUACUUGCAUUACUUCAUCUUUAACCAAAGUUUCUGACUUUAUGCAAAGUUCACUCUCAAACAAAUCUCUGUUUCUUAAAAACGAAAUAUGCCGGUAAAGAAACAUACCCAAUAACUCAUUCCAAUAUUUCAAACCCACAAAUUCCCAAUUCUUAUCUCAAUCGAAAUUCGGAAACAAACCAGUAACCCAUUCAACAAUCUAAGACUCAAAAUUAAACACAGAACCGAAUAACAAUACGAUUGUCAAUGAACAAAUAGAUAAAGAAACAGUACUGAUUCAGGACAAUAAUGGCACCUUAUUACGGGCGGUGAGUUCGGGCAGUACGGUGGUGGCUGAUUGUAGCUGCGUCGGUUGAGUAGAACCGUGCGGAGGAGAACAGGGAGACUUUGGAGGGUUUAAGGACUAAGGAGAGCCUGGGUACAGUUUAAACUUUCUCAGUGUGAUACGUGGAUUUUGGCUAAAUCCUUUUAUUUUUCGUUUUUCUUCGUUCACUCAAAAUUAUAUCUCCUAUCUCCUAUUCCCAACAAAAAAAAAAAAAAAACCCAAAAAACCAAAUUAAUCCAUGUUUAGAUCUCCUAAUUUCCUUCUUCUUCUUUUUAAUUUUUUAAUCAUUUUUGAAACAACAUAUAAGCACAUUCUUCGAGCGCAUUUCAUGUCAGUGAUGUAUUAAAAGUUUUUUUGGCUUCGGAUAGAUUCUUAUAUUUGCUACCUUUUGCGAAUAUAUGGUGCAUGUCUCUCGGUGACCCCAUUUCCUUUCCCAACCCAUGCGAUCAGCGGAAGGACAUCGUAGUAGUGCAUGUGCCUCUCGCAUUGUAUGUGCCUUGUGGUGCGAAUCUUGUGACAAUUCCUAGGUCGUUGUUUGACCUCUCGGAUACGGAACAUUCGGUACAAGUAACCCAACACUUAUUGAGUAAUCUCAAACAUUAAUAUAUGUAAUCAAUAUUUUUUUAAUACUAAUAAAAGUGUAAUUUGAUAUUAUCUAACCGUCUAUUUUGGUUGCUGCAAGUGCCCCUUGAUGCACUGAAUACUCACAAAAUAUAUAUUCGAUAAGAAAAAGAUGCCCGAUCGGAAGUCAUACUUUGCCAUCAGAUCCACAUGAGGUACCACCGAUGGUGAUAAACAUGUUAACUCCGCUUUUUAGCUAAAUUUCUACCCUAGGUUCCACUUUGGCAUCAAUUUGUUACCCUGGAUUUCAUUUUAGACAAUUUGAUACCCUAGAUUUUCGUAAUUAGCCAAUUCGCUAUUUGAAGUAUUAUGUCUGCCAACUACCCUAUGUAUUCAAAACUAAGGUGAAAAUCCAAUUUGCUACCCUAAAUAUAUAUGUUUCAAAUUGUUCAUUUCUUCAUCCAAACAUUAAUAAUUUUGAAAAUCUAAGGUGAACUAUGGUCAAUCUUGAAAUUUUGAUAAGUAAAUUGUCAAAAUUGAUUCAUCUUGAAAGUGUAAAUUAAGUAUAUCAAAUUUGAUGGAGGGAUAGCAAACUCGCUAAAAUAUAAUCUUAGGUAGCAAAUUGGCUAAUUUAGAAAACCUAUGGUAACAAAUUGGCAGUAAUAAUACUUAGGGUAGCGAAUUGGCUAAUUUAGAAAACCUACGGUAACAAAUUGGCUGAAAUAAAACCUACGGUAGCAAAUUGACAUCAAGAUGAAACCUAGCUAGGGUUGUAAUUUGGAAAUUAUGCCUAAUUUAUAUGUCAAAGCCAAAAAUAUGUCAUUCAUAAAAGAGGUAAUUCUGGGAGGUCGUUCAUUCUAGGAGUGACUUCCAAACAUAUAUAGUUCUGUUUUGUUCAAUAUAUGUGUCACUCAUAUGCUAAAUAGCUUAACACUUCCGAAAACUGUCCAAACUAACAACAAUCAAAUUUGAACUUUACCCAAAGCAUUGGUGAAGCAGAGCGGAUUCAGUGCACCAUGGUGUUUUGAACCACUCAUGUGGGUCCUAUAUGUUCUAGCAUAUAUUCUCAAAAUAUAUAUUAGAUACAAAAAAGAUAUUCGAUUGGAAGUCAUACUUUGCCAUCAGCUCCACAUGAGGUACCACCGAUGACGAUAAACAUGUUAACUCCGCUUUUUAGCCAAAUUGCGACUAUAGGUUACACCUUGGUAUCAAUUUACUACCCUAGGUUUCAUUUCAGCCAAUUUGCUACCAUAGGUUUUCGUAAUUAUCCAAUUCGCUACCUUAAGUAUUUUUUGUGCCAAUUUGUUACCUACGUAUUCAAAAGUAGCCAAUUUGCUACCUCUUUGUCAUUUCAAAUUGUCCAUUUCUUCAUCCAAACAUUAAUAAUUUUGAAAAUCUAAAUGAUCAAUCUUGAAAUUUUGAUAAGUAAAUUGCCCAAAUCGGUUUAUCUUGAAAGUGUAAAGUAUAGCAAAUUUGAUGGAAGGAUAGUAAACUGGCUAAAAUAAAACCUUAGGUGGCAAUUGGCUAAUUUAGAAAACCUAUGGUAACAAAUUGGCUUAAAUAAAACCUACAGUAGCAAACUGACACCAAGAUGAAACCUAGGGUAGUAAUUUAGCAAUUAUGCCUAAUUUAUAUGUCAAAGCCAAAAAUAUGUCAAUCGUAAAAAAGAGAAUUUUGGGACGUCGUUCAUUUUGGGAGUGACUUCCAAACUUAUAUAGUUAUGUUUUUUUCAAUAUUUGUGUCACUCCUAUGCUAAACAGCUUAGCACUUCCGAAAAUUGUCCAAAUUAACAACAAUCAAAAUUGAACUUUGCCCAAGCAUUGGUGAAGCGGAGCGAAUUCAGUGCACCAUAGUGUUUUGAACCACUCAUGUGGGUCCCAUAUGUACUAACAUAUACUCUCAAAAUAUAUAUUAGAUAAGAAAAAGAUGCCCGAUUGGAAGUCAUACUUAGCCAUCAAAUCCACACGAGGUACCACCGAUGGCGAUAAACAUGUUAACUCCGCUUUUUAGCCAAAUUGCGACCCCAAGUUACACCUUGAUAUCAAUUUGAUACCCUAGGUUUUCGUAAUUAGCUGCUUCGCUACCCUAAUUAUUAUUUCUGCUAAUUUGCUAUAUAUGUAUUCAAAACUAGCCAAUUUGCUACCUUUUUGUGAUUUCAAAUUGUCCAUUUCUUCAUGCAAACAUUAAUAGUUUUGAAAAUCUAAGGUGAACUAUGGUCAGUCUUGAAAUUUUGAUAAGUAAAUUACCAAAAUUGGUUCAUCUUGAAAGUGCAAAAUUGGUUCAUUUUGGUUGUUGCAAGUGCCUCUUGAUGCACUGAAUACUCACAAAAUACAUAUUCGAUACGAAAAAGAUGCCCGAUCGGAAGUCGUACUUUGCCAUCAGAUCCACAUGAGGUACCACUGAUGGCGAUAAACAUGUUAACUCCGCUUUUUAGCUAAACUAGGUCCUUUUGUUUGCCUUCCAAAGUUUGUGCCUCUGGCAGUCGAGGCUUUGCCGUGGUUUUGGUACUUACCGGCAUUACCAAACUUGAGAGGGACAACCUGCUUGAUAUAUGUCAUUCCAGGGAAGUGCCUAUUCUCUUUUGUAAGUGAUUUUAGCUGUGGGAACCAGUACGCCACAUACUCGCCUUCAGGAUCAUAAUUCUGUGCCUGAAGAGGUAUAAGAGCAUUUCUUAGGUACUUAAAGCGUUCAGGAGUGAAUAAAAGAAGCAAUGUAGUAGUUUACUUGUUUCGGAAUGCUGAAGUAACGAUCUUCCCUGGGGUCAUUUCCAACUCCUAAGCAGGAUAAAAUACAGGAGAAUGAUGAUUAGUUUUAUCAGCUCUAGUUUACAAGAAGGGGUGUGAAGGAACUAAUCCAGGCAGGUUUAAGGGAAACAAUCUUGUGAAUAUUGGUAUAUGAACCAAUGAACUUAGAAUCACCUGCUCCAUAGGUCCAAUUACCAUAAUUGGAACAAGGGUCAUAAUCCAAAAGCAUGUCUCAAACCAUUCAGCUCCCAUGCGCCAGUCAAUACCCAUAUCUCAAACCAGAAACGAACAUACAAUCUGUACAACAAUAGAUGAACUAUUAGUCAUCAACUCAUCAUCAAGACUAAUCCAACAUUGGCUGGACAUCAUAAUUGAGACUGAAAUAAGAUGUUGUGAUGUACUAUGCAGAAAUCUACCAUACUGACAACGUUACUUAGAAUUACCUGUCUUCCAUGAUUUGACAUGAACCCAGUUGUUGACAGCUCUUUCAUGUUUGCAUCUAUGAGUGGAUACCUAGAGGUUCAACAAGCUCUAUGUAUCAUUGUCAAUGGAAGGGCAAUUACAACAGCCUAGUAGACAUUGCUUCUUUUUUUGUUUUGUUUCUAUUAUUAUCAGAUCAUGGACACACAAAUAUGAAUAUCUACAUCGUGGAGGAAACAAUGUACCCUGUCUGACCAUCUCUCCAGGACUCAAACAAAGUCUUUUCCUGGCUCCAUCUAUGCUCCAAAUUUCUUGGGCCACCUUUAGCCAAGUACAGAUGAAUAAAGAAAAGGGACGAAAGAACGAGAUGAGAGCCAAUAAAGAAAACUUUACACCCUAUUGCGCCACCUGACAAGACAAAAGAUGAUAUUCUGCUUUUCUUUAAGCUAGCUUUAUGAUUCUGAAAAUGAACAAUGAUAUUCAGAUAUCUCUCAAUUAGCGCUUUUCUCGUGAAAAUGCUAAGGAAGAAUAUGAUGUGUCUGAUAUUAUGCUCGUUUCUCCUUAAUAUCAGUUACGUUGGAAGUCUGUGAAGGAGAUCAACCUUUUAUGAGCUUUGCAUCCAGCAAUAUUUUUAAGAAUCAGGGUGUAAUAUUUAAUGCUACACCAGAUUGAAUCGUUCCCGCAUAGAGAUAAAGGCUGGAAUUUAAUGGGUGGGGAUCUGGCCUAUUACAUGUUCAGGCUGAUUACCCAUGCAAAAUCAUGGUGCAGAAGUUGCUGGUUUGGUAGCAUUUUCUUCUUUUGAUUUUGGCUGUGGAUAGGGUUAAUGUUAACAAGGAGAAGCAAGCAACCUGAGAAGAAAGAAGGAAUUGCUUCCUUCAAGCUUUUCUGCGAUGCCAAUUGGCUGUGUUUGAGUUGAAAUCACUUCGUGACUAUUCCUCUUUUGUUUGUAUUAGUUUGAUUUCAAUCAAUUUGGUGCUGCCAAAGAGUUGAAGAGAAAAUUCUGUGGAAGUACUAAGUCACCAUAUGUAUAAUUCACAAGUUGAGCUAUAUACAAGAUUUUUUUUGAACAGGAAGCUAUAUACAAGAUUAGAACUAGUUUAUUAUGAUUGCAGAACUUGCAGUUUUAGAGCUUUCCCAAAUAACAAGUUGAGCUAUAUUCUUGUGAUUUAUAUCUUUGUUUUCGAAUAAAUUUACUCCUUAAAAUACUGAGCAAGAACAAAACGUGGGCUGCUCUAAUCAAUCUGUCUAGACCCAGAAUUUACCUACCUCUUUAUUCUGUCUUUACAUAUAUGAUACCCAAAUGCAUGCAUGAAACUGAUGAAAGAAAAAGCUACCUUGUAUACAAUUAGAGAUUUUAAUUACAAUAAGACAGAGAGUACCUUUGAUUUUCUGAUUGAUAGUAUAUUAGUUUAUCCAAAUAAGAACAUGUCAAAGGAUAACACAUGUAAAAGACCAAGACAUUUGCCAACCAAAUCAGAAUGGUGAGCAGUAAAUAGUGACCAAGCCAAACCUUAAGGUCUACUUUACACAAAGUGCAUGCCCUAUAAAUAGAUUGAGGUUAACCCUACUCUUCAUCACCUUCAAUCCUUCUCAUUUCUUGAACUCAAUUUGCAGUACUUGCUGGUUUAAUUUAGUUGCUUUGAGUACAAGUUAUUACACAAACAAAUCAUUGGUUUUUGUUAUUGAGUUAACCUUCAAAGCCAAUGAUGAAGUCCUUUAGCUACAAUGCAAAUGUUGCCUCAGUUGCACUGCUGUUGCUGCUUGCCCUGAUGAGCACAACAAGCUCAGCUCAUCUCUCCUCGACAUUUUAUAACAAAGCCUGUCCAAAUGCUCUCGCUACCAUUAGAAAAUCCAUAAGAACAGCAGUGUCAGCCGAACGUCGCAUGGCAGCCUCCCUAGUCCGCCUGCAUUUCCAUGACUGCUUUGUUCAGGUACAAAUAUAUAACUAUAACCAACCAAGUGAUGCUGUUCAUUUUGAGCUAUAACUUAUGGUGCAGUACUCAUGCAUGUACGUUUGCAGGGUUGUGAUGCAUCAAUCUUACUCGACGAUACUGCUACAAUCAUAGGCGAAAAGAAUGCACUGCCUAAUCUGAACUCUGUGAGAGGAUAUGAAGUCAUUGAUGAUGCCAAGGCUGCAGUGGAGAAACUAUGUCCUGGUGUUGUUUCUUGUGCAGAUAUCGUUGCCGUGGCUGCUAGGGAUGCUUCAGUUGCUGUGAGUACUUAUAUUCCUUUCAUUUUCCAUUUUUCAUAUUGUUUUCUCAUCAAAUUCUAGCUUUCUCAUUUUGAGUUUUGGAACUGAUAAUGUGUAUAAAUAUAGGUUGGAGGUCCAAGCUGGGCGGUGAAGCUUGGAAGAAGGGAUUCGACCACAGCAAGCAAAACUCUAGCUGAAAGCUCUCUUCCCAGUUUCUUAGACAACCUCGAAAGCCUUACCAACAGAUUCGCUGGUUUAGGCCUCAAUGUCAGAGACUUGGUUGCACUCUCGGGUGCACAUUCAAUUGGACAAGCUCAGUGCUUCACAUUCCGUGACAGAAUCUACAACAAAACCAGUGACAUUGAUGCAAACUUUGCUAGUACUCGCAAAAGUAGUUGUCCAGCAGAAGCUAAUGUUGGUAAUGCAAAUUUGGCAGCACUAGAUUUGGUGACACCAAAUCAGUUAGACAACAACUACUACAAGAACUUGAUCCAGAAGAAGGGUCUUCUUGCGUCCGAUCAAGUUCUCUAUAGUGGAGGAUCUACUGACAGCAUUGUCUCAGAGUAUAGCUCAAAACCUGCAAAGUUCAUUGCUGAUUUUGCGACCGCCAUGAUCAAGAUGGGAAACAUUAACCCUCUCACUGGCUCAAAUGGGCAGAUAAGAAGGAUUUGUAGUGCUCUCAACUACUAAACUCUGAGCCUCCACAAUCCGAAGUGUCAACAGCAAAGCAACAAAAUAUAGCGAAUGUCUUGUUCUACUGAUUCGUUCAUAUGUGAACUUAUACUGUACUUUAUACAAUAAAUCGAUGCAAUACUAGGAGGAAGACAAUGAAAAUAAGUUCUUCCUAGAUCUUGCAUGAAGAGAUAUUUAUAUUUAUAGAAGACAAUAAAAUUGUACUUUAUGUGUACAUUUCACACAUUUCACAUUGAAAUAUCAGUUCUUAUGAAAUGAUGGAGUUCCAAUUUCAAAUUUCAAUACAAAGUAGUCCUAAGGUUCUAGUAGCAGUGUACAUACUACUGGUCUUUGCCAAACACUGGAAUUUUGUACGCUACACAAUCAAGCUCUCUAUUUCUAUGUCACCUCAAAGCAACUUUGCAACCACUACACCUGCAUUUCCAGGCCAGAAUUCCCAAAGCAUUCAUGGCGGACUGAUAAAGCCUCUCACGUCUAACCCUGUUCCUUCUGCUUGUUUCAUAUCUCACAGAAGCUUCACCAACUCAUCAACUCGACCAUUCUAGGAGAAAACCCCAGCCGCCGUAUCCAAAACACAAUGCCAUGAAUCCUAUUGUGAUUUUUUGGUCUCCCUCUUUGGUUAGAAUAAAAGUAUAAUGAUGUCAUUGUUCUUUGAUAUAUCAAAUCCAGGUACCUGGGGAUGGUACUGGCAGAUGAUCUGGAUUCUGGACAAAGCAGUAAAAAGGAUCACAUAUCCAAAUCUGACCUCGUCUGUUUAUAGAUUCCGAUGCCUAUAAGCCAUGAGUUGAAUUAGACUGAUUUUGAGCAUCUUACAAACUUCCCAGAUGGUACAUUCUUACUUGAUUCCGAGGCCUACGCAGAUGGUACAUUCUUAAAGUGUGCUAUUCAAGUAUUUAUAGACUAACUAGAUGGAGUUUUAGUGCACAAGGUAUAUGAUGUGUUUCAGGCUCCAGUUUAAGUGAAACCUAUGCUAUGAAUCAUGGGGUUUUGGAUUCAGUUGGAUGCCAUAUCAUGGAAUUAGGGCAUACCAUGUAUGGUUCUAAGCAAAGCUUGUCCAAAGUACCUGCUGAUACAAGAUACUAUGAAAAUAAAUCAUCAAGGAAGUUAGCAGUGUUUUGGCUAUUGCUUGUUCAUAUUAGACACCUGAAGUUGCAUCUAUGAAACAAAAACCAUAUAUAUGGAAAGGAAAUAUCAAUAGGACCUCGUGCAUACUGCUUGUUCCAAUUAUGAGUUGAACGAGUUGGACAUAUCAAACAACUGAAUAACCAUUUAUAAGUACUAGAAAAUCCCAACAUUAUAUGCUAAACACGAAACUGCUACUUGCUUGCUAAGCUGACCAAGGAAAUCAAGGAGCUAGCCUGAGCGGAUCACGCGGGAAUAAGGAUGUCUUGCGGAUGUUGUUCAACCCACAGAAGAGCAUCACCACACGCUCCAGCCCUACUCCAAAUCCACCAUGGGGAGGUGCACCAUAUCUGUAAAAAACCAUCCACAGAUUUGUUAAUCUUCUGGGAUGAAAAUAACAUGUCUGUUGUGCUAUACAAAACUGGCAGCAUCAUUCAACAGAGUUCAAUUAUAAUAAACAAAAAGCAAAUAAGAUGUAGAAGAGUUCUAAGUUCUAGCCCUGAGGACAUUUCAGUGCAGACACAAAAGCUCGCUAGGAAUGGUAAAUUAUUUACAAAAAUUAGUGAUUCAGACAUGGCUACAUCGGGAAGGUGUUGCUAAUGACUAUACCAUUUAAGAUGAAACAUGUAACAACAUAAGAAAAAAGACAAGUACCUGAAGGAAUCAAUGUAUGUUGAUAUUGUCUUGACAUCAAUACCGCGUGCUUCAGCACGUUCAGCCAAGAAGUCCGGCACAUGGACACGUUGCGCUCCGGAUAUAAUCUCCUCACCUAAGGAAUGAAACAAAAUAUAAUCAGAUAUGAUUUAUGUUAAACCAAUUCAGUAAAUAUCGGUUUCAAUAAAAAGCAUGAGACUCGAAUCAACAAGAUAUAGGAAAAGCCUAGGAUGUCAAACGAAGUAGACAACCGCAUUGAUGAUUUACCUCGAAUGAAGACGUCAAAUGAAUUACUGUACUCCUUAUUGUCAUGGCAAGGCAUGGUGUAAAACGGCCUCACAGCCAAUGGAUAUCGAUGAAGGAUGUAGAACUCAGUGUUAUAUCUACGAACAAGUAAAAUCAAGUUCAAUAAUGAUGACUACAAGACUGUAAAGUAAAAUAUAAUAAAUACAAGCAAAAAAACUGAAAAGUUGAAAGGGGCAAAGUUAUAUUACUUUUCCAGAACUAAUUGGCCCAACUUCCUCUCCGCCUCGGUAUUAAGGUCCCCCAUUGGAUCAACUUCAACACCAGCAUCCUACACAAACAAGUCAAACUUAAAAUAAUAUUUAAAGAAGUAAUAACAAAUUCGUUAACUGAAGCAGAUGAUGUAUGUUUAACCAUGACCACUACGCCAUAACCAAUUAACCAUACAAAUAACAAUCACAAUACAACCAACAAUCAAGAAUUAUCAAGUCGCUGUCCUCUAUCUUAUCCAAUUUCUAAGGACUGAUGACACAUAAAGAAUCAUGUCACCCAUAAGGCAGUUCUAUAGAAGUCUACAACCAUCUCUAAAGUUUUUCUAUGCAAGUCGGUCAGAAAACGGAAACAAGAAGAAAUAACAAACAAUAAGAGAGAGAGAGAGAGAGAGAGANNNNNNNNNNNNNNNNNNNNGAGAGAGAGAGAGGGAGUAACCUUUAGCAUUUGAACACCUUCCGCAAAAGUAAGACGUAGAGUCUCAGGUAGAUACUGCAAAUUUAGAAAAGGUAGAGAAUCAGAAUCCAAAAACUAGACAUAGAAUUCAUUUGUUGGUCUUUAGUAACCAUUAUUCAGAAGAAUAUUACUCCAAAUGUAAUCUCAAUCUAAAAUGAAAAAGAAUCCUAACCUUAAGCGGUUCAAAGGGAUACUGCCUCCUUACGGCAUCAAAUUCUUUCUCGCAAUUUUGGUUCAAAUAGUUGAACAUUGUAACAAACAACUUGUCAACAACAUCCAUAACCUGCAACAAAAACCAUUAGCUGUGCAGUAAAUCACAACAGUCACUACAUUAGACUUCUGAUCAUAAAGAACAAAAUAAAGAACAGGCUACUAUAUAUUACCUCGAAGUAGCUCCACUUAAUCUCCAUCUCGACAUCAAGACCAGUGAACUCACAUAGAUGCCUGUGUGUGUAGGAGUCCUCAGCUCUGAAAACAGGUCCGAUCUCAAAAAUACGUCCAAAGUCACCACAAAUGGACAUCUGCUUGUGGAGCUGAGGUGACUGGGCAAGGCAGGCAGGUUGCCCCUUGUAGUCCAGCUUGAACACCGAAGCCCCACCUUCACUUGAACCAGCAAUCAGUUUGGGUGAGUGGAUUUCAAAAAACCCUUGGGACAGCAGGAACUCCCUGAAGAUCUGCAUUACCACCCAACCAAUUAAAAACACUGAUAUUCAACAACUUUCAUCGAAGUAAACACAACACCAAUUAACCAUAUAUGCAUAAGGUGCAAAACUUACAGUUCCAACUCGACUCUGGAUUCUGAAGAUCCCUUGGUUAGCUGGUGUGCGCAAGUCGAGUACUCGGUAGUUCAGUCGAGUGUCCUGGUUCACACGAACCAUUUGUUCUCCAGCCUGAACCAACCAAAUAAUCCAACAAUUAGUUAAAUACAUACACAAACACAACCAGAAAUUCGAUAAAGUUUCACCAUCUCAAAUUAUGAAAGCUCCUGACUCUCGUCUCGCUAAUACAGUAGUUAAUGUACCUGAUUAGCUCUUUCAAUCUCGGCAUCACUUCGAGCAGCAUCCUCAACAUUAAUAGGCAAAACAGCCGCCCUACUAAUACAGUACACCUUUCUGACUUGCACCUCCACCUUCAACAAUUAAAACCAAAAUUCAAUAUCAACCAUAACCCGAAAAGUAAUCAUCCAAUUAUAAUCCAGAAUCAAAUUCAACACAAAAAUCAUAAAAUCCACAGAAAUCAAAUACCUGCUGUGAAGCGCUUAUAAUCGGCGUUCCAGGAACAGACACAAUCCCUUCAAUGUCAAUAAUCGACUCGCGGCUCAGCCCCGCCACGUAUUUCACCAUCUGACGGCUCACAAUCUCCGGCUGGACCGUCGCGACGCACUGAACCGUGAACCCCUUCUCUCUCACCACAAUGAACGCCAUGUUCUUCCCGACGGCUCGGAUCGUCUGCGCGCGCCCGCGUAUCUGAACCUGCUUGUCCUUCAACGCCUCCGUCAGAGCUCCGACCUCAGUCCAGUCCUUGACGUCGGCGAUCCUCAUCGAUUGGAGCUGAAUCAGCGGCAAGUCGCCGUAGUUCUCGGCGAGCGGGUCCUCCGAGUCAGCGGACUGCGCGCGGGCGGCGGCGGCGGCCGAUUCUUGCUCCUGGCGGCGGCGGAGCUUCUCUUGCUUGGCGGCUUCUUUCUUUGCCGCCUUUUUGCUCACUGAGGCGGCGUCUCCGUUCGUUCCGUUCUCGCCGUUCUCAGGCUCGUGGCUGAGCUCGGAGGCUGGCUGAGGUUCUGACAUUUUGGGAAUCUAGGGUUUAGGAUCGGAGAAUGAGUAAAGCUGAAUACGGAGGAGUUGGUUUUCUGAGAGCGGUUUUGGAGUAGACUACACUUGUCGAAGAAGAUAUAUAGGGCUCUCGUUCCGGUCAAUCGGGUCAGAUUUUUCUUGUUUGGGCGGGUUCGGGCGGCCCACUGUAUUUAGAACUUUCCUGUUUUUCGGAACAAGGAAUUUUGAGUUUUUCUUCCUUGUGUAAAAAGGAUAAGGUGACCUUAUGACCACAGAAAUAAUGAAUUGGAAAAAAUCAGAAUUUUCAUUGAUUCCAUUGGUCCGAUUUAGUGUUAGGAGUUACUUGAUGCUCAAUCCAAAUUGCGUGGUGAUCAAGUUACCAAGUGAGUCAUAAGAAAAGACUACUGGCAUCAUUAAGAAUUACAAAUUAGGUGUGGAUAUAAUACGACUAUAGAUUAUUCUGAAAUAAUUGUAAUAAUCAAAGGACAUAAUAGUAAUAAAAAUAAUAAUUCUGAUUUACUUCCCCUUAGAAUCUCUCCACAACUUCCCACUCCUGCAGCAGAGAAGGAGAAAAGGAAAACUUCCAACUCCCCGCGUUUCGCUUUCUAGUUUUGAAAUUAGAGCUGAAAAAAAAUGGAUUAUAGCUGACUUGGUCCGAUUAUUGUUGUAACAGAAUAAAAUUGUUCGGAGUCAAACAACAGCACAAAAUGAAAAUCGUUUUUAUCGCACACCAUAAUUUUGACCGAACGAAUUAGAUCUCUUAACUAAUUUUUUUUUCUUUUUCUUUUUCUUUUUCUUACAUUUUCUGCAUAUACGAUCCUGCAUAGGUUUACUGCUAAUAACCAGGUGGUAAGUGGAGCAACUGCAUCACAAAAUUAACCAAAGAAAAAAACGAAGGUGUAAGAUGGAUGUAUAAAAGAUGAAUGAAGCUAAGCCUCUUUCUCACUGGUAAACAAAUCGAGGGAAAAAAACUCAAAAAGAUCAUAAUUACAUUAUCUGCUCAUCUACCAGCACCAUUUUCUAAUCAUUCAGAUGAUACGUAUGUUACGGUUAAUAACCAAAACCAUGGCCUGCAAAAUCUUCCUCAUCGCCACUGCUAAAGGAUUCCACCAGUUCAUCACUAUCGUCGUCCUCUUCGUCGCCGUCUGUCAAAAUCUCAAGCAUUCCACCUCCUCCGUCAAAGUCCCCAUCCAUAAUGUAAUCUCCCUCAUCGUCGUCAUCUAGGUCGCUCCCACUAUCAUCAUCAUCGUCAUUACUCAUGUCACUAUCAUCAUCCCCGUCGAGAUCAGGACCCAGUAAAGUGUCCAUGUCCGCAUCGUCAUCAUCUUCCUCAUCGUCAUCAUCAUCUUCACUCUCGGCAUCAUCAGGAUCAGAAUCAUCAUCUGUCGGCUUUCGGCGACCAAUUUCAUAAACCCUAGCAGAUGCAAACAUCUCAUCUUGGUCAUCCAUUGUGAUCAGCCCAAGGAAAGAAUCAGUUGGCUCAGUUGCAAAAUCGAGUACACAACGAUCAACCGGAAUAGUGGCAAUGUCUGAGUAGUUAACUGCGUCCACUGUGCGGAAAGCAGCAAACAGAGGAUGCUUUACACGACGGGUAUGCACCGCAGACAUCACAUCAUCAAGAUUUCUUCGGAGAAUUGCAUAAAUUACAUCACCACGGGCAUUAAAAGUUAUUGUAGUUUGGUCUAACGAAGGUACACUUCGGAGGAGUCUAAAGUUCCGGAGAUCCCACACCUCAGAGUUUAUAAUCACCUGUAAAACAAAAAUGUAUCAGAGUUCAGAAACAAAACAACCAAGAAAAAAUGGUAAAAAUUUAGCUCAUGAAAUUAGAAACCUGACUGCAAAUAAGAAGACACAAAAGAAUCCAGAAAAAUGUUUGCUACAACAAAAUCUCAUUUACACAGCUUAUAAGGUAGUUGAAGGGGCCUACGUACCUCGUUCCCAGUAGGAUGGAAGCCCCCACCCCCAUAAUCUGUAAACUGAUCAAACCGAUGAACAGGGCUGGAAACCCGCCUGUCCCACAGGACACCAUUCCACAGCAGCAUUGUGUCUAAAGGGUUAAAGUGUAUAUGAGAAUAUGAAUGUCCGCGGCCUGUGCUAGCAGCUGUAUCUGACAGUUUUGAUUCCAACUGGUUAGUUUGGAUAUCAUAUAUAAGAAUUUCUUUUUGGGCCGGCUCUGACGAUAGGGCUGCAAAAACAUCCCCAAAAUUGCCAAAUCUUGCAGCCUUGCACCCUUCAUAUGAAUGCAUUGGUCCAGUAGCGACUGUCGAUGCAUCCCACAACCUCACGUCUUCUGAACUAGAAGAGAGCACCAAUUCAGUUUCACCUGAAAGAUACGUCUGAACAAGUGUCACCGGAGACUGGUGGCUUGGACAACUCUCCAAUACGUUGCUGCUAUUAGAAUCAAAGAUUUUGAGUUCUCCACCAUGACUGCCUACUGCGAUACGAGCAGUGUCACUAAGAAAAGAGAUGCAUGUCAAAGGGUUACCAGUAUCAUCUCUACAAGUCCGCCAUGGCCGGAACCUACUAUAAACAAACUGACGAUCCCUGCGAUUUCCAUGAACCCCGCCAUACAUACUUCUGAACUCACGAGUGCCAAGCCGGGCAGUGACAUUUGCAGGGGCAUCAAGGGUUCGUCUAGGUUCGGGACAAACAUGUGGCUGUAACAGGGACAGUGGUGGAAGAGUGGUUAUAGGGGCAGGACACUGGCGAUGCUGGUGCUUCAGAUACUGAACAACCAAAGAGUCAAGAGUCAACCUUUCUGAGUUGCUUGGUUGAGGAUCGCUCUGAAGCCCAAGUUGGGUGGAUGGCGUUGCAAGACCUAUACUAGAAUUACCAUACUGGUUAUCAUCCAAACACUCUGAUGAAAAACAAGCAGGUGUGGAUCGACCAUGUUGAUCUCUCAUGUUGAAAGUAGGGGUAGAGAACCCAGCCAGAUCAGUUAGUAGACCACUUUUCCGCACAAUAUUGGGUGUGGGAAAAAUUGGAGACCGAUAUCCCUGAUCCCCCGUAUGGAUGCGUUUCCCAGAUGAUGGCAAAUUUAACUCGGGUAAUUUUCUUUUCAUUGGCAACAGGAUGGGUGUCUUACAUUGGUAAUCUGUAUCCAUAUUAGGCUUGGGCAGUAUUUCCGAUGGAGCUUCUGAUGUAUUUGCAGGUGCAGAUAACUCUUUAGAUGUACUGAAGACAUUUGUAGCCAACGUUGGGUGAGAGUCAUGGGGCUGGGAUUGAUUCUUUGACUGAAGACACAAAUUUGGAGAGAAAACCAAAGGUCUUUUCUUAGAGUAUGAGAUAGAAGAAUCACAUUUCAAGCUUGAAUCCUCCUCCCUUGCUAUCUUUGAUUUAUUGGUAAGAAAACCAAUAGGGGCACGACCAGAGGGCCACUGAAGUUGCAAAGAUGACGCUUCUUGUGUAGCUUGAUGAACAAGAGAUGACGGGGCAGCCAAGGAUGGCAAAGGCACCAACUGGGCCUCUUUUAGCAGUGAAGCGGCUGUUGUAGCCAAACCAGAUGCCUGUAGGUGUUCAUGUAUUAGAAGCAAAAGUUCCCUGAAAUUCCAACCGUUGGGGAAAGGAACAAACCAAAAGCCAUUAAUUAAAUGAAUUAGAUAAUCAAUUGUCAAAAUAGAAAUGAUGUAGAGUUCAACUAUUCUAGAGCAUUAUAACACUAUAACAGAAAUUGCCAAAUACCUGGAAUGGUAAGUGAUAGGAGUGGCAGCUGCUAUCGCUGCCCGUUCUAUGCGCCUCAAAGUUGGCAUUGCGGCAUCAGUGGCAGCCAAUGUGCUAGCACGUCCAGAAUUGGUCACAAUCUACUCAAAAGAAGAAAAAGUUAUAUAUAAUCAUGUUUCAUACAUUUAGACUUGAAACUAAAAGUAGAAGAGAGGAAGGUGGAGGAAAAGUGAACUAAAAGCAACCAGAGAUAAAGUAAUUAUAAUCCAAGACCCCAUACCCUUCCUAUAAGUGAUUUUCAGAGAUAAAAUAACGUGUAUGCAAUGAGUAUUUGAACCACUGACAGCACAACAGAAAUGCUUACCGCCAUCAACUCGAUUGCUGCCUGCGAAAGUUCAGAUUGCCACCUGCCUUGCUCAGCUCCUUGUGUUUGGCUCCCAGAAUCUCGGAUUAGUUCUGAUAGUUUCUUUCCAACCUAGAGCAUCAUGUUGCAGUUAGUAGUAUGAAAAAAAACCAAAAAUUGGUAAUAAAUAAAUAAGUAAUUGUAAAGAAACAAAAGGCUCAAUGCCAAAAACUCAUAGAUAGCACAAAGAAUUUCAAUAACGGCAGUGAACUGUUUGAAACCUUAACCAGAAACGAGAAUCAACCCGUGACAUGAUACAUUGAGGCAUAGUAAAAGGGAUAAGCAUGUUGUUUUUUUUUUUGGCUGUAUUGUUUUAUACUCGAGUAUUCAAACUGGAGGACUCCCAGCCACCAACUAGUUCAAUUGGAUGGCAAUCAUUUCAAAUAUUUAAAUCUUAUCUUUUCAGGUUAAGCUAGAGUCCACAUCCAAAAGAAGAAUUUACAGCCCAAGAAGUCAAUUCGACGUUGGUUGGCUACAUCGGCCCUACAUGAAAGUUAUUUACCUGAAGCUUUGUCAAUAUGUGUGCAAUUGUAUCAUCUCUCGCUAAACCAAGAAGGACUCUGCAAGCAAGGGCACGUAAACAGUCGAGUGCGGCAGGAGGAGAAUAUAUGCGUGGUUGGAGAAGAUGCAGCAGAACCUUUAUACCAUUGGUGGAACGAACAGCCUCUCUUGCUUGCCGAUACCCUUGCUCCAGUUGUGCUGCAAGCCCGGCACAACCCGCCCCAACUCCUAAAGAUAUCCUGCGAUCCCCAACCAAUGCUGAGGAUUGUGCAUUGCUACUGUUCAACUGUGUACCAGUAGCCUGUGCUGCAAGAGCUGAUUCCCCAGCUCGAUCUGAGAUGUUACGCUCAGUACUUUUCUCUAUAGCAAGAGCAUUUGAGGUUGGAGCAGAAACAGACUGCUGACUUUGUGCAUGUAAAGGUGGUUUGUUGCUGAUUGAAGGUGGAGGACAGACAAGAUUGACCAACACAUUUAGAGCUGGCUGAAUAAUCUGAAAAGAACAUGAAGAUAACUUAAAACUGCAAAACUAGAAAAACUGCAAUCAAAUUAAGAAAUACGAUCAUAUAGAAUGCCUCUACCUCGGGGUCCACAUAACUACCAUUAACACUUGCUGCAUCCAAAAUAACUGCUAUACCAACACGAUUGUUGCUUAAUGUCGAAUUCACAAUCAUCUUGCGACUACUAGGUACCAAUGUAACAAUGUGCAGAACACCCAAUGCAUAUUGAAGUAAAUCAUGUAGAUAGCGCUCAACAGGUGGAGCCUGCAGAAAACCAAAAAAAAAAAACAGUGAACUAUAAACUUAGAACAUAAGUAUUAAAAAAGAUAAAUAGAACAUAUGGGAAGUUCGAGCGGCAAGGGUGGGAAACUUCAGUAUAUAUUCUUUUUUUGAAACUUUAAAGGAGAGAAAAGCAGAAACCAGUAUACCUGGCAUAACUCCAACAUAGUAAUAUGUCCAUUAUAUCCCAAAAACCUAUCAACUGCAGGCCAACGAGUUCUUACAAAUGCAGGACCAAGCUUCCGGUCCUUCUGUAACUGCAGAAAUACUGCAUCAAUAGCUUCAUUGCUAAGGUCAAGUGGCUUGUAAGCUGCCCUUACACUGGGAAGAUUUCGGGCUGCACUUCGACUGUUUUUAUUUGGACGAAGAGAAUCCACAAGCAAAAUAAAAUGAGCUCUAAAGUACUGACGCAAAGCAACACAGGUGUGAUAAGCAAUCUGUUUCUCUGAUGAGGUCAGUACUUCUGUCGGUGACCUAUCAUUUCGAAGUGAGCCUGAGGUAGAGAGUGUCCCAGAAUUUACUCCAGAUCUUACUGAUGCUGCAUCAUUUAAAAGGCACAGUACUUUCUUUAAGCCAUCCUGAGCAUCAAAAGCGUCAAGAACUGCCCUGAAAACAAAUGCAGCAGAAAAAAAUAAGGCUGCAUUUUUCCUAGCUUGAUCCUGUGAGCACUCUAGAAGAUGGAGAGCCAACUCAACCACCUGGUAAACCAGGUCUGAGGGAAGAGCACAUACACGCUCCAUUAUACCCUUCAAAAAAAUAAAAAUAAAAACAAGAAAAAAAAACAGUUAAUAACAGCAAUGCAAAAAUAUGUGAUUAUAAAACAUCUGAAAAGAAAAGAUCAGAUCACAUGUCGUACCUGCAGCGAACCAAUUGUAAACAAGCAAGAAGAAAGGCCAAAGUAGGUUUGAGGAACUCUAGGGACAGCGAGUAGUUUCUGCAUGCCACCCCUAUCCACGAACAAUGCAGCAAAUUUCCGGUGAGCAGCCAAAGCACAUAUGAGCUUCAUUACAUCAGGCAAAAGCAUUGCGACCUUUGACGGUUCUUUAUGUCUUGAAUUUCGUUGCAACAAGGCAAGACACACGUCUACUCCCUUCUCAUGCAAUACAGGUCCAAGAACUUCAACAUAUUCUCCAAGAGUCUCGAGACAUUGAAUACAGUAUUUUUCUCUCAACUGUGCAAGGGAUUCAACACUUGGAAUAAAGAAUUCUUCAACAUCUUCAUGUUUUUGAGGUUCAGCGCUUGAAGUUAUUGGUUCAGCACUAGCAGAGGUAUUUACCGCAUUCGCACUAAUCAGCGAAAACAAGUUAAUAUGUUACAUCCAACUCAUCUAUUAUCUGUAUAGUAGUAUAACACAGCCUUUUCUAACACCAAAUUAAGUGCAUCAAGAACAAUAUACUACCUUAGAGCUUCAAUUGAAUUGGCAGCAUCAAUUACGGUAGAUGCUGCUCUUGAAGCAGCCAAAACUGCAGCUUCUUCGUUAUUUGUUGUAGUGAAUUCCUGAGUAGUCAAGUGGCAAAGAACUGAGGUGAAAAAGAAAAAAAUAAGAAAAAAAGUAAGUAGUGUGUGUGUGUGUGUGUGGGU